AAUUAAUUUUUUAAAAUUAUAAAUUUGAGAUUUUAAAAUUUUAAAUUUUAAUUUUGAUUUUUAAAAUUUAAAAGUUUAUAUUUUAAAUUUUAAAAUAUAAAUAUAAAAUAUAAAAAUUCAAAUUAUAAUAAAAAGAAAAGAAUAAUAUUAUUAUUUUUUAUUUAUAACUGCCCACUUUAAUUCUUAUUCGAUCUUAUCUAACCAAACGCUAUUUUUCUUAUUUUUAGAAAUAAUCCAAUUAUCAUCCAAACACUAAAUUGAUCUAAUUCUCGCUUAUACCUCAAUUUAUAUCUAUCCCCGGAAUAUCCACUUUUUGCUUAUCCUUGAACCAACCGAUACUUGAAGGACCGUUUGAUUGCAUGCAGUUGAAAUUGCAUGUAUAUGCAACUCGGUGUUUUGUUUGACGUAUUGAACUUCAAUUGUUGCGGUAGAAACUAUAGGAGGAGAUCCAACUACAGCAGUUGGAACCACGCCCAAAUUGACACAGUUCCAACUGCAGCAAUUAGAGAGACUAAUUUUAAGCAAAAGGUAUACUUAUCUCAAUUAUUUUUUAAAUAAUUUUGUUUUUUCACAUUGAAGGUAAUCUCACAAUCAUAUUUAUAUAUAAUAAUAAUAAUAAAAUUUUAAAAUUAUUUUUCAACUGCAUACAACCAAACAAAUUAUUUAUAGUUGCAGCGCCUUUUAUUAUAUCAAACCAAACAGAAUGUAAAAUUGCAACUACUAUAUUUUCAAUUAUAUAAAUUUUUUUUUGAGAGAUAGGUAGCAUGCUCCCCGCUUCGUUUAUUUCAUUUAAAAAUAAACUUGAUUAGAAAUGUGAAUCAGCUAGUAUUUGAACUUGGGAUCUCGGAUACCAACCACCAAAUCCUUUGCCACUUGCGUUAGAAACAAUUGGUAAUUAUAUAUAUUUUUAACUGUACUGUAUUUGUAAUUACAUUAAAUCAAACGGUCCUUAAACUCAUAUAUGGUGUGCCGUAGGUGACGGCUCCAGAGACUCUUCUGGAAUAUUGGAUCUCUGGGACACGUUUUUACAGUUGGGAUUUGUUUUGUUUUUUUGAAGCUUCUUUUUCCCGCCGAGGACAGUUGCGAUCGGUUGGUCGAGGCAACUUGAGAAGAGCGCGUAGCAGGCGUAACAUCAGACUGGACCGCCGCCCCCCCCUCCCGCCCCCCCCACUGCUUUUAACUUUUAACCAAGUCGGCUAAAAAUUUGAUUAUGGUCGGCUGUUUCCGCGAAAGUUCGGUGAUGAACUCGCGAGUCCGUUCGUCCGUGUUUGGGUAUAGCGACAAACUCAGACUUCUGUGGGGCCCGCGCGGCCUGCACGCAGGGUCAGUCUCACGCAGCGGCAAUUCGCUUACGGCACGAGCUCGCAACUUCGAGAGAGUUCCACGAAAACAAAUACACUUGGUGCCCAAGGCCUAUUAUUCUACUUCUGAUCAUAGUUAGUUGAUUUGGAUUCGGCAAAAAUUCGAUACGGGUAUAAUUUGGAUAAAAUUUGUCUUCUAAUUUUUAAAUUCGCUAAAAAAUAUGGCUAAAAAACAGAUUCGUCAAUUAUUCGGAUACGUGAUUUAUACGGAUAUUAUACAUUCACCAAUUAAAAAUUCAGGAUAAAAAAUUUAGCUAUUAAAAAUAAAAUUACUUGAAUAAAAUUAAUAUUCCCAAAGCAAUAGCAUUGAUGGGACCCGCUCUCUCGAGAUGCAAAAACAUGUUUAAAAAUGAAAAUUAAUAUUCCCAAAGCAAUUUUUACUAUUGUCAAAAACAAAUAGCCUAAAACAUGAUGGGAUAUAGUAAAACACUAUUUGCACAUUUAAGAGCUUAAAUGGCCAUCACUGGCGCAAGUAGUAAAAGGCUUAGUGUUUAGUACCCGAGGUCUCAAGUUUGAAUCUUAGUUGAUUCAUAUUUCUAGCUAAAUUUAUUUCUAAAAAAAUAAACGAAGUAGAUAACAUGCUAUCUAUCUCUCUCUCAAAAAAAAAAAAAGAAAAAAAAAGAAAGCUUACCAGCAAAAGAUUUAGACAAUUAUUUAAUAUUUGUAUUAAAAAAUAAGGGUACCAAGAGUAUUAGGUGGCCAAGCUAAAAAGAGAGCUUUGAGGUAUUCGAAUAAGUCAUUUCUCACAAGAAAGAGCAAUUCAGAGAAUCAUUUAACAUAAGCAAUUUGCACAAAGAAGCAAAGAGCAGAUAAAUACAGAAUUUACAUGGAGCAGUGUGUGAAUAAAUCAAAAGUUCAAAUAUUUAACACCUGCAAGUAGUUCUCGAUGAUCGACAUCGCCGAAGAUCGGUAUCCCGACCCGAACAGGUUGUAGUGAUUCAAGUAGUGGUACAGCAUGUAGAGGUCCCUCCGGUUCUCGAAACCUGGCUGUUUCGGCAUAACCUGUGUACGAAAUAUAUAGACAUUAAAAAUAAAACUUCUCACUUACAGCAGAAGAAAUGAGAUCCUAGAUAUGAUGAGAAAAUUAUGUGACAGGAAAUAGGCAGAAAAAUCGGAUUGGACUUGUAGAGGCAAGAGAUUAGCAGAGUUCAUCAUCUGUUUAAGCGAGAGAUUACGAAUCACAUCGCAACAUGUUCAAAGUUUGGGAACUAGAACUCUGAACAAUUAGUCCCUGCUGACUGCGAUUAUUGAAUUAUGCGUUGACUACACUGCUGUCGGCUCUGUAAAUUAGUCCUUUAAUUUUUCUCUACUGUAUUUAGUCCUUAAUAUCUGUUCAUAUAGCUAGAAGUUGGUCUCAAGUUUCCAGUUAUACAAAUUAUUAUGUUUCUGUUCUUCGAUCUUCUAUUAUGACAAAGAAGAUACCUCAAAAUAGGAAUUAUAAAAUGAUCCGCCAAAUCCAGCGCACCAUGACAUCCCAAAUUCUGCCUCAUUGUGCCCAUCUGUGCAUCGAAAACGAAUUAAUUAGUAUAAAGAUUUUCCAGGCAACAUUUGUAUCAAUAGAAUAAAUCAAAAGUGAAACUUUUGAGAGAAAAUUUGAACAUUUAAAAAGACGUACCUCAUAAAUCAAAUGCUCAAAUUUUCUACCGAGGAAUAAUUUCAUCAUCCAAAUUAUGAUCAAAAUAUUGUUGCACAAAUUUUCCGUUUUCCACUCACAGAUAGGAUUUCUUGUGUAAAAUAUUUGUCAAGCAUAGAGGACCUAAAUGUCAAUGGUUUUUGAUAUUCAGUGUUUCUGUAUCAUUACUUGGUUUCAAAAUCAGUAUUGAAGUAUGAAAUAAUCACUGAAAUGAACUUACAGUAGCAUGCUGGAUCCAAUAUAAUAGGAUCACCAUUCUUGUCAGCGCUUAUGUUUCCACUCCACAAAUCUCCAUGGAGUAAGCAUGGCUCAAGCACGGCACCUUCAAAAAGUGGCCGCAAGUUCUUCAUCAGUCGUUGACCUGCAAACAAAAAUUCAAAAAAAUAUCCGCAUAAGGUUGAAUGUUCUUCAACAGCCAUUUUACAUGUUGAAGGAAAAUUUUGAGAAAACUACUGCAUUAGAUUUCUUCUCCCUUCUCCAUUUUCUUUCUUGAGUCUACUUCCCCCUCCUCUUCUUUUUUUCUUUUUUCUUUAGUGUUGUUGACUUGCCUCCUUAUGCCUCAAUUUACAUCAUAUCACAUCACUCUAAUGCUUUCUGUUCAAAAGAGAAUUUCAGGAUAAUAUCCAACAAAAUGGAGGAAAGGACAUCGAUGAGGAAUCAAAUAGAUAGCAUCCAUAUCUUUCUGAAAGAUAUUCUAAAUUUUGAUCAAUUUUUCUUUACCUCCUUAUAUAAGUAUUACGCUUUAUCCAUGAUUGAUUAAGUUCCUGUUGUGCAAAAUAAGUGAUUCAUCAAUAACCAACAUAAAACCAACCAUAAUAGUUGAGACACAUAUACAUAGAACUGAACACCAUAUAACAUAGUAGAGACACAUAUACGUAGAACUGAACACCAUAUUACAAAGAAAGCAUGUAGAAAGUUGCUGUUUCAAGAAUCAAAAUACCUUUUUCAUAUAUGCUCGAAUCCCCAAACUGGUUCUGCGCUAAUGUUAAUUGGUAUCCUAGCCUAUGCUCGGCAAAAAACUCGAUCCAAUCUGAAGUCCAAGUGUUUAUCUGUGGAGUACUAAAGAAAGACAAUCAUAUGAAUUGGAACACGUCUGAAAAAGAUAGAGAUAUUAGUUGGGAAAUCAAAGGUAGGGGAAUUUAUGUAAGGUUUCUAGGAGUCGAUAAAACUUAUAUUCUACAAGAGUGCAUGUACAAACAGAUGAUUUCAUAGGGGUAUAUAAAUAUAUAAAACCAGUUUCAAUACUGAUUUGUGAGAGUUUGAUAAGUCCAAGAAAGGAAUUUCACCUGCCGAUAGUAUUGUCAACAGGAAACCCAAAACCCUUGUCGGAUUUUGCGGCUUUAUGCAUUUCGGCGAGCUUUCGUCCUAGAACUGACUGAAGACAAAAUACUCCGUUAAAGGGAGAUUAAAGCAACGCUUGCAUUUGAUAUAUAGCACAUGCACUAGCAUCACCUGACUUCCCCUAGAGGUUCCGAAUUCAAUGAAUUCCAUAAUGAUAAAGGAACCACCAGUUGGUAAAGAUCCAACCUAAAAUUCGGAAUUGAAGAAGUUUCUAUCAUUAGCUACAACCAACUAGUUAUGUCACAAGAACUUUGUCAUAGAUCGAAGCUAACUCGCAGGAAAUCCCCUAAAAAUACCGAAAUAUUCAGUGUCAAAGAAAGGUAAAGAAAUAAAUUACACUCUUAAACUACAAGAUUAGAACACUUUGCCGCCAUCAGUGUUUAGUUCGAAACUAUAUGUCACUCCAUUCAUAAGACAAUGAGGCAAAAUUUUAGUUUCAAACUUUCAUGAAGGCAAUAUGGAGAUUGUUUUUUUUUUUUUCUUUUGUUUUUUUUGACUUGAGAUAAUCGUGAUAUUUAUUAGGGGAUUUGCUGCAUUUUGAUCUAAAUAUAAAGAUACAAAUUCUUCUACCUUAAAUGGCAGGGGAACACGAAUUGAUUUGGUGUCAUACAUUGCACGCAAACCAAGGGCCUCGCCUUCAAACAUUGACGGUCCAAUCCUUCUGAACACGGUUACAAAACAAUAGAGAUCGGUUUCACAAACUACAGCUUACAUGUAAACAACAGGAAAAUAAAUAGAGGAAAAAAAAAAUAACAGGAAGACUUAUUGAAUCGAAAAAUUGUUUCAGAUAGUCAAUUUUGCUUUUCCAACUUUUUAUCUUCCAUUUUUAUUCCCAUUUUGACGAAAAGUCUCAGAACCGAGACGAAAAUGUAAUCAAUAUGAAUACAACAUCAAAACAGUAUUGACUGCUAAGUCAUACAGUAUCAGUAUAUUCAUUUUAGCCCGAAUAUUGUCUGAAGUUUGCAGCAAAAUAAAUGAGUACACAAGGCACGGUCAUGUACAUAUAUCUGAAAAAAAGGGGGAAAAAACUUCUCUCUAAUUUCGAAUAUUAACGUUAUUUGUUUCAGUAAAAUAACUUGGUAUACCUGUUCGUCUUUACAAAGAAGGAACCAGAAUCAGUAUCAUAGCGGCUCGCGUGAUUGAUGCACCCGCCGCCGAUAGGACUUAUCCUUGUAAUCUGCGUGGCCUUUCCUUCGGUCAGAAUCCAUUCACGGAUCGGAUCAUCGUUUAAUGCCGCCACUGUGAAUGAUGAAAGUACGAAAUCCUAUCAAACUAGAAGCAGAGGUUCUAUAACAACAAUCGGAAUAUUAAGCUAUACAAGCAACAUCAAAUAGGUAACUAUAGAUGCUUAAGAUGCUGAGAUUUCAUAAAAGGACCAUCCCUUGUAGAAUAAUUCAAGGGGCAAAAAUGCAUAGAAAGCAUAUAACAACAGGCCAUUUAGGCUAUUUUUUCUAUUUUAUCUCAUUAAUAAAUUGCACAGAGAAUCACCCUGCAUCCUACAGUCAGAAAAAAAGUUAAGAAGAGAAACUUUAGCUGUUUUGAUUAACUGCUCUCUAAACUAUCAUUUAUUUUGAUUUGAGUUAUAUCCCGUCAACAGCACGGGGUAUUUCGUUAACUUAAUCAGCUACGCUGUCGAAUUUCAUGACUCAACUAACUCGUCGGCUGAAAAAAAUGUGAAUUUUGUUAGCAACUAAUAACCGACGGCGGCUAAGGCCUCGUUAGCCUUUUCUUUGCUUUUUUUUCAAUCACUAAUUCUACAUAAUUUGACGAACCGGCGAAAGGACUUUUUUUUGUUGUCAUGAUUGAUUAGCUAGCAAUUUUUUGAACAAAAUUAGAAGGAAAUAAAUAAUUGUUUUCAGAUUUUUUUAACUUUUGGUUUCAAAAUAAAUACUUCAAAAGCUAUCCACUCCUACACAUUUUUACGUUAACCAAACAAGAUACCAAACGAGGCCUUACAAAGCUGUUGAUUUCAGCGAAAUUCGAAUUUUAAUCGACUAAAGCAACUCAGAUCAAAACUAACAAAAGUUUCGGGGGUCUCAAUUGAAAGAAACAAACGCAAGCUCAGGGGACUGUUUCGAAAGAGGCCUAUAGUUAGAUGGCUCUUCUUGCUACAAUCCUCCAUGGACUACAUUGCGAACUUCGAUUAAUUGCUCGGAUCAGGUAUAUGUAUAUAUAUAUAUAUAGAGAGAGAGAGAGAGAGAGAGAGAGAGAGAGAGAGAGCUCACUGAUGAGUGCGGAGGGAGAGGAGCGGUAGGGUUUGGGGAGAGAGAAGCGACGAGAGGAGGAGGAGGAAGAGGAAGGGAAAAGGAGAGAGGCGGAGGAGGAGAGGAGGAGACCUGCCACGUGCGCCAUGUCUCCGCCCUCCACAUGCUCACUCUACUCGCACUCCCUAUCCAUCUCAUUCCCUUAUAGUAAGUACAUACUUUUGCAUGCACCUGGUGCACCGUGCACAGUAGUUUUUUUUUUUUUUGUGGUAAAUGCAUAUAAAACUUGUCUCAAUUAUGAUUUUUUUUUUUUUUUUUUAUUUUACGGACCGUUCCUAGCACAGGUGUUAAAGGGCUUGGGGAUUGAUUCCCCAUGUCCCAAAUUCAAAUUCUAAUUGAUUCAUAUUUUUAGCUAAAUUUAUUUUUAAAAAAAAUGAAGCGGGUAACAUGCUAUAUUUCUCUCUCUCAAAAAAAAAAAAAAAAACAUUUUGAUUUGGUUAUCAAAUAAUUCAAAAUUUUAAUUUACUAAUUAAUCUUUCAAUUUAUUUAAUUUGAGUCAGUCAAUAACACUUUGACUUCAUAAUUUGAAUGUCUGCUUAUUUUUACAAGUUUAAUUGGUAUACUUUAUAUAAUUUUGGCGAUUAUAAAUUUAUUAAAAUCAAAGCACCGCUGACUCUCUAAAAUCAAACAUUGAAAGGUUGAGUAAUAAAACUAAAAUUUUAAAAGAUUGGAUAGUCCAUUUAAAAUGGUCUAUUAUUUAAGUAAGUUUUGUACGUUAUUGACCUAAUAUUUCUAGCGGUGAUUGAAAUUUAAGAUUUCAAAUUCGAAAUCUAGUGCACAUACUUUUGAGGUCAUGUUAUAUGUUACGUGAUAGCCACGAAUCUUAAAAUUGUGAGAACAUUCAAUUUAAUAAUCGUGUGUACUUACAUAAAGAGCUAUUUUAUUUAUUAUUUUCACAUCCAACUCCUUUCUCUAUUAUAUAUAUAUAUAUUUUGUUUUGACAAAAAUAGCGAACUAUUCGUUUUUGUAUUCUAAUCGCAGUGAUUGAAAUAAUCAGCUUCGUUUUCGACGCAAAAAUGUACUGAAGAAGAGGUAGAGCACACUCCCAUUAUCAAUCGAAUUGGCAUAUACAAAUCUACUCAAACGUAAAAAACAAAUGACACAUAUAUAUAUAUGAUCAAUCUAGUCCCCGGAUACUACAAAGAAGCACGUUUUUUUAUUCAUAUUAGUCCUGCUACAAAGAUAAUUUCCCAAUUAACUACAAUUUAUUCUUCUCAUUUUAGUAUCUCUAUUAUUAUGUGUAUAAAUUUCUAGCCACAAUACUUGUACUUGAGCACUGAAGAACACUUUAGCCAAAGUCAAGGGAUGCUGCAUCAGAACAAGAUCAUGUUAGAAAACAGUAGAAACUGGAAUUAUGAGCCAUUUGUUAAGAAAUGCAAUUUACGCAGGACUAGACUGCGAUUAGAGAUAAAAAUUAUGUUCUAAAUUGUUGCAAUUGGAACUCUAAGAUGGGUGAAAUCAACAUUAAGGUUAAAAUUUCAAAACUAAUUAAAUUUGUGAUAAUUGACCGUCAUAAGUUGUAUUAGAUUAUGAGAGAGAUUAUUACAUGCGACAAUCGACGUUGGGGUCGAUAGUAAACCCUAGGGAGACACCGCAAAGCCCUGGAAGGCGGGCGAUGGCGGUGGCGUUGGGGUUGUAGGUCGUGAUAAGCCCCAUGAGGCAGCCGCACGCCGACCGUCGGUUGUCGACGGAAUCUGCCGCGACAUUAUAGAGCGUCACCACCCCGUUGCAGCACGGCGUGCCUAAUGACGGCUCCGGCGACCCAAAGGAAACAAAGCUAGAACAAGCCGCGAUAAGAGAUGUCACAGUACUACAGUCUAUCGACCCAACCACCGUUGUCGCAAACAAAAGCAGCGUUAGCGUCACUGUCGCCAUCACCGGAGCUCCGGCGAUCCCUUGGUUCGUGAAACUAAGUGCCAUGUCUCAAAAUGGUAAGUUGAGUGGUAGUGUGAAUGGUUCUUAAAUUAGGGCUAUUUUAGCAUUGUGGUGUCACGUUGGUCGAGUGGUGUGAUUCAUGUGGUUAGGAUGAGCAAACGGUCACUUUGUGUUGCUGCAAAGGUGUUGAAUGAAAAAUUGGAGCAUUUUAGGUGAUUAAGUAGCAUUUAGUUAAAGAUCCAAUAAUUUAGUUAGGUUUUCUAAUUGAGCAAGUAAAUAUACGUUGGAAAAAUCUUUCUUAUCUUUUAUUACAAUAUUUUUUAAAAACAACUCGAAAAUUCAAUUUCAGCUAUAGAAAAAUUCUGAAACAAAAUUAAACAAAAAUAUUAGAAAUAUAAGAUUUAGAUAAGACCUGUAGAUCAAGGUGUGUAGAGCACUGCCCUAAAAGCGAAAUUAUCUCUCCACGUGCGAGACUUCCAAGCAAUUAUUUCUAGCGAUACAACAAUCACGUUCCACCCCGUCGGCAUACUUCUAAGGUGGCGCAAGACGAAUCCAACAAGCUUUAGAUCCAGUAAAAAAAAACUAGGUGAAAAUCCAGAAAGCAGAAAAAGACGAGAGGCUUUAGGUAUGCUCAGGUUAUUAAUUAACUUAUGCAACCUCGCCCUAUAUUUAUAACCUAAGCGAGAAUCUUGCUUCAACGCGUCAAAUCAGUGUAGAACAAGAUAAGCCUAAGAUUAUACGGAUAAUGAUCAGAAUUUGGAUAAAGAUAAAAAUAAGAAUUAAAAUAAAAUAAACUGGGUGUAUGAAUUGCACGCGCCGCCUGCCUGACUCGGCUUGUACUCGUGCUCGUGUCGUGCGUGUGUGUAUUUAAACGAGAGCAUUACUCUCAUUUUCUUCCAAGCAACUAGCUUGAGAACAAGGGAAUAUAUAAAAACAACAAACACUCUUUUGAUUUCCAAUUUGGGACUAAAUAUCACACAUAAAAAUUUUAGUUGAGCUCCUCAAACGGCCCAUUAAUAAUUAUUGGGUUCUCAAGAGACUUUAACAAGUUUUAAAUCAUAACAAACUCAAUAAAAUUCAAUAAUAUAAGUCAUAGUUCUACUCAAGGUUGUAUUAACAACCAACCACCAUCUCUAGAGCAAGUGGUUGGUAUCCAAAGUUUUAAGUUCGAAUUCUAUUUGAUUCACAUUUUCAAUUAAGUUUAUUUCUAAAUAAAAUAAACGAAGCGGAUAGCAUGCUAUCUAUCUCUUAAAAAAAAAAAAAUUGUAUUAACAAACUAUUAUGGUUUAAAAACAAUUUUUACCGUGCAACACACAUUUUUAUUUAUUUUAUUUAAAAUAAGAUACAUGAUAAAAAUAAAAUAUUUAUAGAGAAAUUUGUUAGUGACUGUUAAGGAAAAAAAAAAUUGAUGAAUAUCAAAAAGGGUAAUGUGGGCUUAAUAUGAGUCAAACAAAACCAUAUGUUUAAUAUUUUUAAUUAAUUUUAUUAAGUAAGUUAUAGAAUGAAUAAUUAUUAAAUUAUUAAUUUUUAAAAAAUAAGUGAACCGGCUAAAAUAAUAAAAAUUAGAAGAAUUGGUAUGUUUUAUCAAGAAGAAGUGUUUUCAAACGUAGAUUAUUGUUAGGGUUCUCACUACAAUUUUACCACAUAAUGGAGAACGUGGCACCAUUUCAUUCGUCCAGUUGCCCACUUACGUGUUACGGUCACCUUCUUGUCCCAUUUCUUAUUUCUUAAUCACGAGCGAACAUUAAAAAAAAAAAUGAUGAUAAAUAUAAAAAAAAAGGAAAAUAGUUUCAAAUAGGGUACUUGUUCUUCAUCUCAGAGGCUCCAAUAUCUAGGGUUUCGACUCCUCCUUCGUCCUCUAGGGUUUCCAUCCAUGGCCAUCUUCGAUUCCAUCGAUUAAGGCUCCCUCUCCCCUGCGAUCUCCUCCCUACCAGCUUCGCUAUGUCGAACUCCUCCCUCUCCGCUUCGCGUGGCGACGCCGCCGUGGAUUCGGCGCCGCUCCUCGACCGCAGCGGCGGCGGCGGCGGCGGAGGAGGAGGGUUUGGGCCGCACCCAAGCCUCCGUGGCGCGGCGCGGUUCCUCCGCCGCGCGAGCAGCCGACGCAUCAUGCGCGAGCCCUCGGUGGCGGUGCGCGAGGCGGCGGCGGAGCACCUCGAGGAGCGCCAAUCCGAUUGGGCCUACUCGAGGCCCGUCGUCGUCCUCGACGUGCUCUGGAACGUGGCGUUCCUCGCCGUCGCGGCGAUCGUCCUCGUCCUCAGCCGCCACGAGAGGCCCUCGAUGCCGCUGAGGCUGUGGAUUGGGGGUUACAUUCUCCAGUGUGUUCUCCAUGUGGUGUGCGUGUGCAUUGAGUACCGUCGGAGGCACCCAUCGGAGGGCGCCGAGAGUGGGAGGAGCUCUCCGUCAAGUUCGCCGAGGGAGGGUGAAGGAUUCGGCGAGGGCGGGGAAUUCCGUGAUGGAGAAAGGAAUAGGUAAGGGCGAAAUAUGCUGUUAUAUGGUUUGGUUCUUAGCAGAGCUACAAGUUUCAUCUUUUCUUUCUCUAAUUCGAUCAGGUAAAUUACACCAUUGAUCUAUAGACACUGAACUUUGUUUCAAUUAACGCGUUGAAAUUGGCUGAUUCAGCUGUCAAAAAAAAAAAAAAACUUUUUCCAACAGUUUGUUUGUUAGGGGGACGGGCGCAUCGAUGCAUUAAGGACUUAGGAUGCAUAUGUAGAUGUUGAUGUAAGCAAGGAUAGUGGAAAAAGGUAGUAAAAUGUAUAGAAAGAACGAUAAUAAGAGGAUAGGUCACGGAGGAUGCUGGGAUAGAUAGUAAGGAUAGCGGUAAAAGCGAGUAGUAGGAUGUGUAGAAAGAACGAUGAUAGGUGGAUCGAUAGUGUUGGAUGCUGGGAGUCUGAGGAAAGGAAUGACCGAAUGAGGUUCUACAAAUGAAGAAAAGGGAGGAUUGAACAGAAUAGACAUGCGUAUUUAAUCUACUUCUGACUGGAACUUGGAUUCAAAGAAUUGGUAUUUGCUUAGAAGUGUGUACUGUUAUAGACUUUACCACCAAACCUUGCUGUGUUUUGAUUUCAGAAAAUUCUAGUGGAACUUAACAUUUUCCGCAAACCGGUCAUAGAAUUUUCCAUCUGUUAGCAGAAUAGUCCGUUGGAUUACAGAAUAGUCCAUUAAAAAAGUGAAAUAUACUAUUAGGUUCGAAUGGAGAGGUAGUGAAAUCAAGAUCGCAAUACGUUUGGUAGUUAAAUCAAAAAUUUAAAAUUUUAGGUGUCCUUUUUGAAAUGAGCUAUUAGUUUAGGUAAUGUUUCCAUGUCUGAAGCCUUCGAAAAAGAGUCAGAAUCGUUGAUCUGCAUUUCAAUUUCCUAUUUUUUAAUGUAUUUUCUUGAAUAUGCUCCAUUUUCUGUAGGAGUUUAUAGAUGUUUUAACUAUGAUUCUUUUUGGUCACUUCUCCUAUUGUAGUAUUGCAAAACAUCUAGAGUCUGGAAACACAAUGUUUUCCUUCAUAUGGUGGAUCAUUGGAUUUUACUGGGUAUCUGCUGGUGGCCAAACUCUGACCCGUGAAGCACCUCAGCUUUACUGGUAUUCCUCUAAAACUGUAUACCUACGGAUGUGGCUAAGACCUUUUUUUUUUAAAAUGUUCUUAAUCUGAAUUAUUUUUGUACACUACUUAUUUUACAGGCUCUCUAUAGUUUUCCUGGCAUUUGAUGUCUUCUUUGUUGUAUUUUGCGUUGCUUUGGCUUGCGUUAUCGGAAUUGCUGUUUGCUGCUGUCUACCUUGUAUUAUUGCAAUCCUGUAUGCUGUGGCUGAUCAGGUAUUCCAUUUUCACUUCCUGGUAUAUCUAGAAGAUGAAUUUUAUCAGAGAAACUAUUACAAUCUUAUUAUUUUAUUUUUGGGUAUAGUGUUCUUUUCACCUCCUCUAUUUGAGUUCUAUGUUUUGUCAAUGUCAAUGUUGCUUGUCUAGUUAGUCCAAUACCGCAAUGGGAAUAUUUCUUAUAGUUGGAUAUGUUAUAAAAGCUUUAGUCCUUUGCUGACUGAUGAAAAUAUUGGAUUCAUCACCAUCAGAAGUUAGUAAUCUUUCAUGCGCCUUCAAGCAUCUACUGCUCUUACCUAAAUCAUCAGAACAAGAUUUUUGAAAGUGGCUCUUCUUCGAUAGCAUGGUCUUCAUUCAUGCAUGAAGGUUGUGCUAAUCGAGAAAAGAAAGGACGUGUAGAUUGAACUUUAUACUGGCCAUAGAAGAUCAUUCAAUUUCUCUAUAUAUAUUUGGCCAUUUUGAAAGGGCUAUUAAACCUGUAUAAUGGAUAUACAAACCAGAAUCCCAAACUUCCGAACUUGCCAACACUGCCGAAAUGUUUUGUUUUUGGCAAAGGACAGAAAUCAAAUGCGAGUUUUUAAAUCAUGUUUGGGACAUCUAUUUAAUGUAAAUGAGCUUUGCUAUUUUGCUAACCCUUAUUAUUCACCAGAGUUCCCUUUUUUUUUUUUCAGGUUUCCAAGUGGAUAGAAUAAGUUUGCCUGUUGUUGUUCUUAAUAUUUUACUUUUUUUUUUGGCCCUUUAUCAGGAACAAUUUAAUCUAGGUUCUCUUAUUCUAACUCAAGCAUGAGUACAGUCCCAUUCUGUUUGUAUUGUACUAAAUUACCUGUUACAUCUGUAAACUUUCUAAAACAGGAGGGAGCAUCCGAAGAAGACAUUCGUCAUCUUCCAAAGUACAAAUUUCGGAGGAGCAAUGGUUCUGACAAGCUGUCUGGUGAGAUAGGGGGACGCUCUGGCGGAAUCAUGACCGAGUGUGGCAGCGACCCACCCAUGGAGCAAGUUCUUUCAGCUGAGGAUGCGGUAAGCUUCUCCAAAUUGCCCUAGCAAUUUAGUUUUUUGUUGCCAACAAGGAAUCUUCUGGAGCUAUCUUUCUUUACUCAAAUCCUGUUUCCAAACCUCCACUACAGGCCAUUUUGAAUAGGCCCCCUUUUUUUCGAUAAAAAACCCCUUUUAAGUUUUGCUUGUUCUGCUCUGGUUUAUGUCAGUCAGUUGAAUCGAGGAUUCCGUUAGCUCUAACGGCUUUAACCACCAUUCAGCUGAAUGGAGCAAUCUAUUCUAAACAGAAUCCCUCAUCUGGGAUUCUGACAAAAAGUAAACACAAAAUAGAAGCAGAUGUAAAGGAGUGCCAAUCAAGGAAAAAAGAAAAACUUGAGGGGGCAUGUUUCUAAAUGCCCAAUAAUUCAUCUUAUCUCUAUGCCUUUUUUACCUGACUCUAAACUCUCCUGGUUAGUUUCACAAUUUGCAACCUAAAUGUUGGAUGUGCUAAUUCUUUUUUUCCCCUCGCUUUUUCUUUCCUCCUCCAAUACAGGAAUGCUGCAUUUGCCUUUGUCCCUACGACGAUGGCGCGGAGCUCCGCGAGCUCCCCUGCGGCCACCAUUUCCACUGCGCCUGCAUAGAUAAGUGGCUCCACAUCAACGCCACGUGCCCUCUAUGCAAAUUCAACAUCCUAAAGAGCGACAGCAACUGCGGAAUAGAGGAGGUUUAAUUAAAUCUCUCGAGGUGACCACGGUGACUCUACCACUGCCUGCUUAAUUUGUAGAUAUGCUGCUUCACACUUCUUCUUCGUCGUCUUUUAAAGCGUUUAGUCUUUUUGUUAUUGAUCUUCCGUCUUUUGUUUUUCAUGUAAAAAAGUAUGUUAAAUAGGAUAAUAAUGCCGUAAUCUUGGGUGUUAGUGUCAUGGUCUAAUAGCCCUUUUUGUAAUGUUGUUGUUGAGUUUUAAUUGUGGUUACAUUUCAAAUGGAUCCUUACUGGUCAGGUGAGGGUAUUCUAAUGGCUUUUUGAUUUCCUUUUGUGCUGAUUUGUGAGGAGCCACAGGUUUUAUGGUUGUUUUAAGUGUUUUAUACUUCUAUUUUCUAUAGAAGGGUUUAUUGCACUUUACCCGCUUUUAAUACUCUGCUACACAAAUACAGAAACUAAGAUCUACACAAAGUCAGUUUGAAAUUUACGGUAAAUCAGUAUCUUAUUCGUUAAAUUUAAAACCUUAUUAUUAUUAUUUUUAUAAAAUUUUUAUAUUUAACUGUUCAAUUUUAGAUUAAUCGUUUGAUAGAUAAAUGAUGUCAAAAAAAUUAUAAAAUUUACUUUUCAACUAUUCAAUAGUGUACAACAAGAUUAAAAAAAUCGAUCAUCAAUUUGAAAGUCGUAUCACUGAAAAUAACUUAGUAGUACCGGAACCUUCGUGCUACACUAACUAUAGUAUAGCAGUGGGGCUACAUAUAUAAAGAGAAAAUAUUUUUAAGUGGGUUCACAUAUUUGUGCAAUAUUGUUUUUAUUUAUGUUAUAAAUUAGUCCAUACAUUUUGAUGACUGAUUCUUUAUAAUAUUACAUUACAUUUAUAUAUUAUUAUUAUUAUUAUAUUAAUAUUAUUUAUAUAUUUUUUUAAUAUAUAUAUAAAUAAAUAUCAGCACGCUAAUAUUUUAUAAAAACAAUAUUCUUCGGACGCAUUGCGUCACCUUUGCCUGAGCAUCUGAGCGUAGGUUAUUUAUUUAUUUAUGGCCACAAGGCGCAAGAGACGAUGGGAAAAAAACAAAAACAAAGGCAAAAACAAAACAAAAGGCAAAACAUCUAGCGAGUUCUAAAACCUUCUAGACCUCGACUGUCACUGUCGCACUCUGGCGACUUCUACGAACCUUCUAGACCUUACUAAGUUCUAACUCCUUCUCGUACCUUCUCUUCUGCGGCGCGCCCGCGCGUGACCGCCAGUGCCCUGGCGCCGCCACGUGCUCCUCACAGCGCCGCCCACCCCCCUCACUCCUCUGGAUCCGCGCCGGGCGCUCGCGCCGACGGCUCCCGCCUCCCCCCGAUCGGGACCCCGAACAGCAGGGACACGGCCUCCUCCUCCGAAGUCCUCCUCGGGAACAGCUCCAGCGCCUGCGGCGGGGGCGGCGGCGCGGGCGGAGGCGGCGGCGGCACGGAGGACGUGCCCUCGUCGGCGGUGUAGGUGGUGACGAGGCGGAAGAUGUUGCUGCAGAGGCCGCGCAUGUCGCCGAGCUCGCGGGAGAGCCGCGCGUUCUCCGUCCGCAGCCACUCGUUCUCCUCCGCCAAAUCCACGUGCGGCGGCGGCGGCGGCGGCGGCGGCAGCGGCUGAGGAGGGGAGGUGGUCGACGACAACGACAAUACCUGCGGAUCCUCUCCCGAACUCCCCGGGGAUUGGAUCGGCAUCGGCACCGCCACCGCCACCGCCGGGCACACCCUCCGCCGGUGGAUUUCGCUCAGGAGCCUCCUCUCGCCCCGCCGGAAGCUCUCGUUCGCGAACUCCCACCGAUCCGUCACCACCUUCUUAAAUCCCUACAUAAAUAAUAAUUACAAACAAAUUUUUUUUAAAAAAAAUAUAUAUAAAUAUAUAAAUAUAUAUAUAUUAGUAGAUUAAAAUUAAGAUCCCCGAGUAGGAAUUUGUGUGUAAAGCAGCUUGAUCCUGCAGCAGAAGCAGCAGCAGCAGCAGCACAUCAUCAUCAUCAUCGUCAUACGAAACUCCUGUUUCUAAUAAUUCAGUACGUGCGUAUAGGAGGAUUAAUUAAUUAAUUAAUUAUAAAUCUAUCGAGACAUGCGCACGUAUGUGUUAAGCUGGCGAACGAAGCUGGAGAAGUUGUUGUGCUUGAAGUACUUGGGGAGGAGGUCGCGCGCGAACUCCGCGGGGCGCCACACCACGAAGGUCGAGCCGUUCUCGCCCCACGAGACCACGUCGUCCACCGCCGGGUCGUCCACCAGCUCGUACGUCUUCAUCAGGAACGGCGGCGACGACGACAACGCCGACGCCCCCGACCCACGGGUCGGAUGCAUGCAGAUUCGGGUGCAAGGUGCCCGAAAGUUCUAGAAGCUUCGGAGAAUUGGGAGACGACCCCGGAGAAGGUCGUAGAGAGUGGAAGGAAGCUGCAGCAAGGGGAACGUACGAGAAUGGAAUCUGACGGAAGGCGCGAUAAAGUAAAGUACGGCCCGCUUUCUCCAGAAGCUUCUUAGAAGCGCUUUAGAUGUCUCGGCGACAACGGGCACGUGUCGGGCUGGGAUGAGACUACUGUUGACCGGAGAACCGGGUGGCACCGGGGGAACAAAUUUCGGCGGCACGAAUAUUGGCGGACACUUGUCGCGCGAUGAUUUUUUUUAUGCAUCCAGUCAAAGUCAAUAGCCCUCAUCCAGCAGGUUUCUCUAAGCUUUCUUUUUAGACUUUAGUUAUUUAUUCUCUCUAAAGUAAAUUUAGCAAAGUUAAUAAGUUAAUUAGAUUUUAAAUUUGAGAUUUUGAGUGUUAAUCAUUUAAGUUUUUAGUCAACUCUCUAAUUAAUUUUUUAUAUCAAUAAAAUUUAAGACUACUGCUUUUUUUUUUUUUUUUUUUUUCUCUAGAAGGUGGGGGUGCUGGAUCAGCUUCUCUUUGUUGCUUAAAAUAGCACAUAAUUUAUGAUAGGUAUUAUGCAUCCAGCUAUUAUUCCGGAACAUAGAUAUUUUGACAUGUGACGCUGGAAUACAUGGAGAACAGAAACGGGGGCACAGCGUUGUAUUGUGCAAAUAAUAUGUACCUUUCAUAUGCCUCUUUUGUCAUAACUGAGCUACUAGAUUAUCUUAUAAUAUAUGUAGAGUUGUCCUGAACACUACACCCGUUUGGUUCGGAAUUAAGGGAUGAAAUAACUUCUUAACCCUGAAGUUAUUUUCAAAUACUCAAUUUGAGGGGUGGGGUUAGCUAACCUCCCACCCCACUACUCCAACCAAAUAAAAUAUUAUUUUACCCACUAUCUUUCUUAUUUUACCUACUUCAACCAAACAUUAUUUUAUCUAUAUCUGGACAAAAUCCAAUUCUCAACCAAACACAAAAUUAUUCUAAUCCCACGUUAACCCCGAACUUAACCCUAUCCCUGAAAUAACAAGUUUUUACUUAAUCCGAACCAAACGGUUUUAUGGCUUAAAGCUAAGCAGAAAUAGAAGCUCCAGUAGCUGCUCUUCUGCUUUAGAGGCUUAAAAUUCAAUGGAAACUAAUAAGUGAAAACCAAUAUUUUAGUUAAAUCCACCUAAGAAUUGAGGUCCACCAUUUUUAUUUUUUUUUUUUCGAAGGCCAAGGAGAUGAACUUCAAAGAAAAGAACAUUAAUAAAUUAUUUUAACGCACCGCAGCUUCAGAGCAAGCUGAGAUUACCAGCUGAAAGCAACAUAACAAAAUUUUUUUUUUUUUUUUAAAGAAAGGUAAUACGCUAUCUGCCUAAUUCAUUAAAGAAAUAAAUUAAACUACAAGAGUAAGGUAAAGAGACCUCCGAACCAGAUAAAAAAAAAAAAAUUUUGUUAUGAAAAAAAAAAAAAAAAAAAAAAAAAGAGACACGUAGAUAAUGAUCGCUAUAAAAAUAAACGAUACUAAGGUAGGAUCAGAAGUUCAAACCAGUGUAANGCUAUCUGCCUAAUUCAUUAAAGAAAUAAAUUAAACUACAAGAGUAAGGUAAAGAGACCUCCGAACCAGAUAAAAAAAAAAAAAUUUAAUUAAAAAAAAAAACACAUAACAAAAAAAAACAAAAAACAAAAAAAAGUUUAAAUUCAGGGGCUAGGUUACACUCGUUAAAACAACAUAACAAUUUGGUAAACCAUUUUUUGGUUUUGUUGUUUUCUUGUUUAUGCAUAAACCUUACUAGAUUUUGUUUUCGUCGCAAAAUUGUAUUGUCCGCCGGCUUACAUCAUUUUCAAUUAGGACUUUAAUUUCAGAUUAUGUGAAAGUUCCAAAGAGAAACACCAAAACUACUAUAAUCUAGAGAGCAAAGAAACUUUCGUCGAUCAAACUUACCGGCGACGGCGAUCACCAUCACCUCUAUUUCCUCUUCCUCACCAACAAACAGAGAAGAUUACAUAUUUCCGCUACAUAUUCAUAUUCAGAAUCACUGAACCACGUAAUGCGCAAUCGCAAAGUUUAAAUUCUAAAUGUGAUUCAAUUACGACAAUCAUGACCUAGUAAUAUGGCUGGCCAAGUUAUGAUUUGUACAAAGGGAAUUGUUUCAACAGUUUUGUCUUUUUGUGAAAAAUGAGAGCUCACAUACUCGCGACGGGCCUCACAUAGAAAGUCAAGCGCGAGGUGUACGAGAGCCGCCCGGUUUCCUUUAUCCUGAACUCCACCGAAGUUACUAUCACACUUUUCCCCUUCCGCAGCACGCGCCCUUCUACUUCCAUUUCCAUCUGCAGAUAAAAGUUUAUCAUGGUUAACAAUGUAUCACUACGAACAACCAUUCCUAAAACCAAAUUGAAUUAACAAGAGCUACGUAGAAGUUAACAGUGACCCCUCCAAAUACCACAUUAAUGCAUCAAAACUAAAAGAGGUGACGGAAGAGUAAAACACUAUCACUCGAGUAAACAAACACAUCAGCUAUCGGCACUUAGUAGUUCUACUUUAGUGUUACAGUAACAAACAAAGUAACAACCAUCAAUGAAAAAACACGUCCGUGCGUUUCCAAAAUGCAUCAGCUCUUUUCAAUUUGUUUCACAUGCAAAGGGAAUGGAAUUGUUACGUAUACACCCUGAUUGUUAUCAACCAGUGAGAAUUUGAACAUGGAAAAGAGAAUACGGAGCAGCAGAAGCCACGCAAGAGAGCGCCAUUCAGACAACAAUCUCCAGAAACUUAACUUUUGCAUUACGACCAAGCCAUGUGAAAAUGUCUAUUCAAUUAAAAAUUUUGAGUUGAAGUAUGAAAAUUACAAGAACACUAGGACCUCAACAGACUAUACUCUCUAACUCUAACAAAUGUCGGCAAAGUGAAAAGGAUCGGUAGCCAUUUAACUUUUACCUUUCAGAAAACAGAACGUGCCAAUUCAGAAGAUUGAAUCUUCAAAUACCAAUCAACAUCGUAAUUCUCUCAAGCCGAUCAAGCUGGUUGCAUAAAUACCUCAAGAGAAUGACAUAAGCACACGAACAUGUACAACCAGCAAUAUUAGUCACCAAAGGCUCAGAACUAUCCAACAAAGAUCUCCGUAUUAGAGUCGGCACACUUUUGAAAGUUAAGAUGAUUAUUUUCUCCAAGCUCAUAGCAUAGAGUGUCACAUAAAGUGUUUCUGAACUCUCAUAUGCACCCUUAAUUUGUUGCUAAAUAGUAUAGUACAUAGGUCAAUCCAUAUAGAGUCGGAGUAGCUCACCAUUUUCGUUCUAUUACAUUAGCAACAUCAUACCUCCCCUACACAGGCAGAGAAGGAUUUUUACGAAAAGUAAUCGACAUAACAAUUUGAUUUAGCAACGAGUGAGUAUCUAUUAACCUUUUAAAGAUAACAAAAUCAUCAAAAUUUACUUCAGAGUUCUCCCAAGCAGAGGAUUAUCAGAUCAUCGACAGAUCCAACAAAGGCCUCUCAUCAGUAAUGAGGCAUAAACCCUAAUUCAUAUCUAAUAUAGAAGAAUUCAACCACAAUCUAUUAGUUAGUUCAUUCGAAGUGCGUAAACCAAAGCGAAAUUUUUUUUGGAAAAAAAAAAGAAAGAAAUUCCAAAUUCCCAGCAUUAGAGACUCUCAUACGUCUCAUCAAUUAGCAGAUCGGGUAAUAUGAUCAGCAUGAUUGGGUCGGAGAGAGAGGGGGAGAUCUAGGGUUUCGAGGGCGCUCACACCGACGCGAGCGGCGGAGAGGUAGGAUGUGGCGGACUCGCCGAGGAAGAACUCCCGAUCGCCGGCGACGGCCCUGGCGCAGGCGAGCGCGACCGCCUCCGCCACCGCCGCCACCGCGCCGCCGUGGAGCGUGUUGUAGGGGUUCUGCAAGGCCAACAAAGCAGACAUCAGCGGAAGCUUCUAGAAGCUUCGAGAGGGCGCUCGGGAGGGGAGGUUUACGGCGAGGGCGGAGGGGACGGAGAGGGAGCAGAGGACGCGGCCGCGGGGUUGGAGGCUGCGGACGGAGAGGAGGGACCGGACGAGGCGGGAGUAGAAAUCCUUGUCGCCGGCGCCGGCGCCGGCGCCGGAGGGGAGGAAGGCCGAGCCGCCGCCGGAACUGUCGGAGAGCCCGAGCUGCCGGAAAAAGCCCUCCGUCCUCGCCACCGCCGGAGGGUCAGCAGCCAUCUUUCUUUCUCUUUUUUUUCCCUUUUUUUGGAUAAUAUAUAUAUUUAUUGUUGGAGGUUUCGUGAGGGAAAAAUAAGAAAAACUUCAAAUAUCACUCCCAUGAUUUUACACUUUCUCACUUUAAUAUUAUUUAAUUUAAAAUAUAUCAAUUUAGUAUUAUCUAAUUUUAUUUUUCUCUUUUCUUGAAGCUCUCGUUAACUUUUUUUUUUAGAUUAUAUACAAAAAGCUUCACCACCUAUAAUUUAUUAGGUAUUCACUUUAGCACCUUUUAGUUUUAACUUUAUCACUAACUUAAUAAAAAAAAUUAGUGAAGAAGAUAAUAAAAAGAAAAAAAUAAAAUUAUAUGGUACGAAAGUGAUACAUACAUUUUAAAUCAGAGAGUACUAAAGUAAAAAAAAUGCAAAACCACUGGAGUGGUAUUUGAAAUUUUUUCAAACAAUAAUUCUAAAAAUUAAUUAUAUUUUAUAAAUGAGAUUAUCAAAUACUCUAUUGAGUCAAAAAUUAUUUUUAAAUUUAAAAAUUAUAUUUUGAAAGUUAGGCCAAAUAUUCACAGACAGUAGCAGUAUUAGAUAGUCACACCUGGCCAUUUGCUGUGAAUAUAAUUAAAAAUAUAGUAUUGUUGGAUAUAAAUAUAGUUAAAAAUAUAAUUAGAUAUAUUUAUAUAUUUUUUUUAUUUGGUUGUUAAAUACAGUUGGAAAUUAUUUUUUUUAAUUUUUACUGUUUUAUAGAGAGAAGAAAAAUAUUUUAUACUUUAAAAAAAUUAAAAUUAAGCUUUAUUUAAAUUAAAAAAUUGAUACGUUAGAAUGGUUCGUAAUUCAGAUAAGUGCUACAAUUUUAUUUUAUUUUUUUUAAGAAAAAGAUAGAUAGCAUGCUAUUUAUCAUGCUAUCUGCUUUUGAAAAUAUGAAUCAACUAGAAUUCGAAUUUAGGGACUCGAAUAUCAACCAUCUGAGUCUUUAGCACUUGCGCUAGGAGCGGUCGGUAAGAAGGAAGACACGUGUGAGUUAAAAAACUGCAAGGACUCACCUUGUCAGGUGAACCGGUCCGGUCGAACAAAUUCGGUCCAAUCGGCCGGCUGGGCGGCGUUAUGAAGUUGCAGUAGCAGAAGCAGCUUCUGGAAACCAUGGCUCUCUCGUUCACCUCCGCCGCACCCACCACGGUGAGCUCCUCUCCUCCUCCUCCUACUUGUAUCCAUGAACUCAAUUUUGAAAAAUAAACGUAAAAAAUGGGGAAAUUUUUCUUUUUUUUGGGGGGGCGGGGGAAUUUUGUAGUGGGAGAAGAGGCUUCCGCCGCCCCGGUUCGCUCCUUCGUUCCUGGAUUUCACCCCCGAGAUGAAAUUCGCGGAGAAAUCGAAAAGAGGGGGGGAAAUUCGAGCUUGCUUCGAGCCCUUCGAAGAUCAACCCAUCAUCAAAGAUGCCAUAAAGGUUCGAUUUUUAUCUUCUUUUAUCCCUUUAUUUGUUUUUUUUUUUUUUUGCUUGAUUGGAUGAUGGAUAUGAGAUGAUAAUGCCCUAAGUUAUAUAUAAAAAAAAGUUUUAAUUGUUUGCAAUGUAGUCACUGAAGUUUCAGUUUAAUCCCUUUGAGUUAGAGAGAAAAAAAAAAGAAAAAGUGCAACUGUAGUGCUAACCAGUAACAAUCAUAGUGUAAACAAACAUUACGGACUAAAUUGUUUCAGUUUAAACCACGAUGACCCAACAUUAACAAUUUGGGUCAAAUUUUAGGGAAUUGUAUUUGUAACUAAACCUGUAUUAAGUGACCAAAUUGCUCCCUAUUGAUCUCUUGUAGGAGCCAGUGGCUUUCAUGGGCGGGGUGUUUGCGGGUUUGCUGAGGCUGGAUUUGAGUGAGGAUCCACUCAAGGAGUGGCUGGCGCGGACCGUGGAAGCUUCCGGAAUCGCCGUGGAGGGUGAGAUCAACGGCGAGGAGGAUUCGAAAGAGGAAGCUGAAGGUGAUUCCCCUCAGCAAAUUGAGAUUGAAUGAUGUGUAUCUUUGUCCCUCUUCUUAUAUGAUUAGUAAUUAGUUCUUGUAAUACACGGUUAUGACUAAAGUUCUUAAGGUGUUUCCCCAUAUUUCACAUAUGAUUUUGCUAUUUACAAUUGCUCACUUUUUCUGCUGAAGUUUGGGGCAGAAGCUUUGUGCCGAAGCUUCGACUUUUAGAGACCAAAAAAGCUUAUUUUGCUAAUCUACUCUAGUUAGACUCUCUAGCUGCCAAAUGCAUCUCUUCUGCUUGUUUCGUGAAUAGAGAAGUUGUUCUGCACUUACUGUUGCAAUCUUAACUUUUAGAUGUGUUGAUAGACAUAGCUGUAUUAUACAUUUCCAUUUAAAGUGCAAUUGUUGAUUGGGGUUUACGAUAUAGUUUAAAGUUUGAUUUUUGUUGCAUUAUGUGAAGAUGAUUGGUGAUUUCCUGGUUGUAUGAUGCUUCUCGUCCCAAAUAUUAAGUGUCACUGCUAGAUGCUUCUUGUGUCGAAUUCUACUUUUUUUAUAUUGUCCUUUGUAGGGUUUCAAAUUUUGCAACCAUGUAUUUUUGUUUAUUGAAUUAACACUCCGUCUGAAAGAUGCCUUCUAUUUUGUACUUCAUAAUAUAAAUACAGGACCUGCAAUGUUCCUCUGUUAACAUCAUUUCAGAAACACUCACAACAUUAACUCUCGUAAUAUCAAAAUUACUUAGAUUGAAGAGAAAGCACAUGAUCAGUGCUGUUUCUGUUCAUUUUCAUGUUCUCAUGCAUCUUUUUUUUUUUUAUUCCUUCUAUGAAAUCCUUCUUAUGGAUCUGAAUGCCGAGAAUUGGUGGUUAGCUUGAGUUUCUGUAAUUACAUGACCUUCUUUAUCAAAAUUGACAGACGAGCGACGCAGGAUCUCAUACAGUGAGGAAGUUACAGUUGCAUUAGCCUCGGACUUUGCUCUAAAUGAAGCUGAUUUUGACUGAGAGUUACUGAACUUAGUUGAUGACGGUGGCCUUGAUUGUUUGUUUUCCGUCUGACCCUGCAAUAGAAUUCCAUAUGCAGAUAAUUAAAAAAGAAAAAAAGAUUGACUUCCAAAAUUUGAUGAAAACUUAAAAGAUGGGAUAUAUGGAAAAGAUAUGGAUACUCAGCUUUGGAGAUUCUAUCCGUAUUUGUGGUUCUGUGCUACUUUAAAAUGAACAGUUGCUGUGUGUUGGUAUAUUAUUAUAUGCAAAAUAAUCUUAGAUCAUUCAUCAGAUUAGCCAAUUUAAACUCGGAAGAUUCACUAAGCGUACCAGUUCGAAACUUGAAAAAUCAAGAUAUAAAUAGUAUCAUGUUCAUAUACACAUCAGAAAAGCUCCUGAACUUCAAAAGCUUCAGAAGGGGAAUAAAAAAAAGAAAAGAAAAGUUACCAUAGAAUGGCUCUCCGAAGAGGACAAGUCGCUUCUGCUAUUGCUGUCAUCACGCCCAAAUAUGAAUGCUCGAAAAGUUGCUGAUUUGUGGGAAGACGAGACUGAAGAAUUUGUCGUUCGACCAACGAAAGAUGACUGCAAAGAAUUGCAAAUUCCAAACUGUCACAACUAGAGUAUACGGAGAAUUUGAAGGGGGGGAAAAAAAGGUAGUCCAGACUCCAGAGUUCAUAAACAUAAAAGUUCAAGAACCCAUACAAUACAUGUUUACUCCAAAUGCAGCUUAAGAAAGGACUAGUUUUAACUAAACUUCACCUUUGAAGAACUAUUGCUGUUCCCCCCAAGCAUCAGCAUGUCCAAGCUAGCUGCGGUAAAGGAAAGAAUAUUAUGAAUAAAGUGCUUAACAAAGUAAUAGUGAUACAACAGAAAAAAAUUAAGAAAGAACAAGAAAAGGCUUUUCUCACAUGUUGCUUGUCUGCCUCUCUUCUUGGGCUGAGGAGCAAUAUUGAGCUUCUUUAUAAGACCAAAAAUUUCCUUUGAUUGCUCAUCAUCUAGUGGAGAUGUAAAAGAGUCCUAUGAAUAAGAAAUAAAAUUUGUCAUUCUUGGGCUUACUGCAAAAAUAUGCAAUGAAAGGAAUUAUAAUAGAAUCUCCAUUUAUUAUAAUAUAUUAAAGUCAAGAUUUUAGUGCCACGGCAUGAGGCCAUGCCGUGUCAACCAGGCACUUACUGUUUGCUUUGACAGGCGCUGACGAACUAAAGACUGUUCUAUCUCCUCAUCAUCAGAGGGCACGUAAAUAUCAUGAUCAUCCGUGAACAUUUGUGCAAUCAUUUGUUUUGCUCUUUCCGAAUUCUGUUUAAUAACAUUUUUCGGAAGUGGCUCAUAUGAUCUUUCAUCUGCAGACUCUACAGCAAGAUCUUCAUCAUCAUCUUCAUCUUUAAUUGUUGAUUCUUUCUGCUUUUGAUUGCAUUUCAGCCUCUGGAGAACAUUAUUUGUUUCAGCUGCAUCUUGUUGCUCAAGCCACUUUUGGUGAAGCUCAUUACGCUUCUCAUGAUCUACUGGCCUCUCCUCAAAUCCAGUUGCAAUCAGAUCAUUUAGCACUUCAUUUUCAUCACUAUCAUCAUCAUCAUCAUCCUCUUCAUUUUCCUGAAACCUUGUUAGGUCAUGAUCACUAUCAUCUUCUUCUUCAGCCUCUUCAUCUAAAUAAGCUUUUGCAGGACCACCUUUUGGAUAUGGGUCCAUGCUGACAGCUUUGUGAAGGUGUGGAUUGAUAUUCUCCUUGUCGCUUGCUUCUGAUGAUGAACUGAAAUCAAUAGCAUAAACAAGACAGAAGUUUAAGAUCUCACUGUUGAAAAAGAAUUAUCCCAAUUUAAUAGCAUGCGAGCUCAACAGUACAUUAUGUCUGCAUGUAUGUUCAUACAUUGAAAUACAUGGAAAAAAUGAAAAAUAGAAAGGUAAACACCAAAACCACAUCAAAUAUUAUCUUUUACGAGAACACUCACACAUCAUCAUCAGGAAUUGGGCUUGAAGGCAUAGGUGAACUUGGAGAUUCCUCUGCGACAUCAUUAGCACUAUCAUUGGAAUGAUUGUUCUCUCCACUCUCCUGAGCAGAGUCAUCAGAAACAUUAUGCGCCAAAAAGAAAAAGAAGCAAUAAACUAAGUGAUUCAUGUAUAAUCAAAUUGAAAUGCAAAGGCAAAAAAUAUCUAAGCACAAAUCGAAAUCAUAUUUAGAAUCCGAAAUGCAUCUUUCUAACCAGCUUCAAGAUACUGAAUUUCCUUCUAUUACACAUAUGUUGAUUUUAUUGUCAAAAUAAUGCAUCUCCGCUGGUAGAUAAGCAACCCAAAUGUUGCAGCAACAUUCAUUUUAUGCUCAAACUUGUGUGAUCAAAGACUUCUUCUUCUGCCCUUCACAUAGAGUCGAAGCCCAAAUCUUCCUAGAUCAUUACGAUUCUUCCUAGCCCUAGCAUGGCGAUCCGAUGCCUAUACUACAUUGCCUGUGCCUUAGAGUGAUAAUAACAUACAAAAGAAAGGCUAACCUUGUCCGCUGCAACAUCCUCACAGCGCUCAAUAAUUAUAUUAGUGUUGCUAGCAUCCAAGGCAGCAUCAUCCAGAAUCUGCACAACAAAUAUAUGCCCAUAAGGUGCCACAAAUUUUCCUAAAAAAUGGUUAAUAAAAGAAUAGUUUGUCACACCAUUGAAGUAUUAUCUGAGAAUACUGCUGUAACAUACCAUAUUUGAACUAUUAUCGUUUGUCAAGUUUAAAUCCGCAGGAAGUUCAGGACAUGGAGCUGUUUCAUCCAAGGAACAGUCAGCCUCGGCAACUGAAUCAGUCAGAUUAGGAGUGCAAUAUCUGAAACCAACACUGCAACAUUGUAAUUUACAAAACUUCACAAGCAUUUUACAUGCGGGAUGCAGAUAACAAGAUAAAGAGACUAGAUCAGAAAUAGGAAACUUCAUUUACAUGACUUACUGUUUCGUAAUCUCCAGCUUCCUGAGACGAAUCUUCUCCAAAACCGAUGAGAUCGGCUUCUGAACAAGAGUCACAGACUUAAAAGAAACAUCACGAGUUUCUGCACCAAAUUCCUGUAGGAAAUUAGAGGUACAUCUAGGCUUUUCCUCUUUACUAGCUGACCAAAAUCUUAUAACAAAGACCUACUUGUACAGUAGUUGUACUAGAGGCAUAUCAGUUUUAUUGAAUCUGAUCAAAUUAAGUCAAUAAACAGUUACAGAUUCAAUGAAUCAAUCAAAAUCAGCUCGAAUAGUCACUUCACCAAAAUAUAGAAGCAUCAAAAACAUUCUUCAACAACAUUGGGAACCAAGAGGAGAGAAUUGCUCACCGCGCAAAAGCCUCUGAGAUUCGGCGUGCAUUAGAUCCAGAUAAGCCUUCCUUUCCUGUUCAGAAACUCACAUAAGCGAGCAAACGAAAGAGGAAUUUGUAAACAUCAAAAGGAAAGGAAGGAAAGAAAAGGAGUACUUUCUCUAGCCUUCUCUUCUCGCGAACGGAUUCUUUCGGCCGCCGAGCGGAAAAAUCAGCAUGAUUCUUAUCAGAUUUCUUCUUCUUCAUCGUCUUCGUCUUCUUAUCCUUCUUCGUCUCCGUAGUUUCUUCUACAUCAUCCCAGAUGAGCCGCUUCUUCGCGCUGUCUCUCCGAAGCUCCUCGAUCAAUCCCCCUGUUCCUAUCCCACCACUCUCGACAUCCGGAUCAAAGCUAUCGAAACCACCCCCUUCUUCCUCUUCCUCUCCUUCCCCCCGAAACCCAGGCUCCGGAAACAGGGGGUCGAGCCCAUCAUUCUCCUCAGAUAGCCCCAAAUCGGGCGCCGCCUCCUCCGGAAUGGCGGCGUGGGACGGAUCGGGGAUCUCUAGGGUUUGAGAGGAAGGGGACCGUUCGGGUGCUGUAGCCCUACAUUGGGAGGCCUUCUUCAAGCGCUUCAGCUUGGGCCGGGGGAGGGGAGAGGCAGGAUCUUCGGCGGCGGCGGCGGCGGCGGCGGCGGCCGGGAAGAGGAGGUCGCCCUCGUCCUCGUCGAAGCUCUCCAUGGCGCUACACCUCUUGGGGGAUCCUAGGGCAAAGUUCUAAACAUGUAGUGAGGAGAAGAGGAAUAAAAAGGGUGAAGAGAGAGAGAGAGAGAGGGGAAAGAGAAGGGAUUUGGAUGGAGGAGGCGGGUGGGGGAUCUCAUUUUUUGGGGCAAAAACAAAUUAGAAGUUGAAGCGUUUGGCGCCUAAACAAUAAUAAUAUUUUAAGCGCUCUUAUUUGGGCCUACAAAACGGCCCAAAAAGGGUGAAGUCCACUAAUGCUAUUGGGCUUCGGAUGUCGGGUGGGCUCGGACCCAAAAUUAUAAAAAAUGGAUCUGCACUUCAUAGAGAAUACUCACACAUAAAUACUCAUCUCUCUGUUACCGACCGUAUCUAAUGCAGUUAGCCAAAAGCUUAAUGAUUAUUGGUAUUCGAGGUCCCAAGUUCGAAACCCAAUCGCUUCACAUAUCUAGCUGAAUUCAUUUCUCUCUAAAAAGAAGAAAAAAAAAAGCCUAAGGCAUAUACCCACAAAAGUGUGUGAUGAAUCCGAUCUCAUAUUUUUCUCGCGAAAAACUUCAUAGGACCCCCUUGUGGUAUAGCUUGAUUGCUUUUCACUUUCCUAUGGUUCACAGUGUAGCGCUUCGUUUUCCUUGAGGAUGCAUUAUUAUCCUCAUUGAUUGUGUGAUUUGCACAAUGAGAUUAAUAUGGUGUACUUAUGUAUUGUAAAAUUGGUUGGUGUUUUGGAAAAGCUAUAACUUUUUGGUAGCAGCAAAAUAUGCAUAGCGCUCAAAUCAUUUUUUGAGAGAGAGAAAUGUAGCGUACUAGCAUGUUACCUGUUUCAUUUAUUAUUUAAAAAUUUGAACUUAGCUGAAAAUGUGAAGCUUCUGGACUUUAAAUUUGAGGCCUCAGGGACUAACCAUCAAGUCCUUUGUCACAUGCGCUAUGGACACUCGGUGUAGCGCUUGAAUUUUAAAGCAGCAUGGAUGGUGGAUUAGACCGUCUCACCGUUUAGGAGAUUCCCCAUAUUCUCUUUGUUUAUUGCUUAUUUUGCCCGCUAAGUAAUUCCUUUCUUAUCACAUCUCAUUUAGUUUACAAGUCUCAAACUUUAUUCUUCUAUAUCUUUAUAUGGACCAGUAGUUUCUCAUCCUUGUUUAUGCACUAGGAUUGUACAGGGGAUAUGAAUUCAAAACAUAGUAACAAGUAUUGGAGUUCUCUGCAGGUUUCCUACGGCACCGUGAAUUUCAUUUGCUCCUACAAUGGCUAGCAUGCUUUCUCCUGCUCUAUUCAACACCUCAGUCGAUUAAUUGGCCACUCGUUGUCAGUAUCUCAAUCGAUUAAUCGACCAUUAAUUGGUUUCUGUUGAAUCUUAUAUUAACUGAUUCCGAAGUUAACUGAAACUCAGUUGUGAUUUUAACUAAGCAGUAUCUGCAUAUAAAGAGAUCGACGACCGCUUCUAGUCAUUCAACUGAUCCAAAAUGCAUCAUAGAAAAUUGCUAAAUUGCAGCAGCUGUUCCUGUCACAGGCCCAACAAGUGCUAUCUAGUUCAGUCCUUUGGAUUCCAAAGAUAAGAUUUCCAUCAAAGCAGUGGAGAAUUUUGGAAUAGGAUAUAUUCUCACUACUGCUGAGGAUCUUCUUGUACACCUUUUUUUCAGUAAAGUAUUUUGGUGAUAAGAAUAAGAAAUUCGUAAUGUCUCUAAAAGCGACCAUAAUAUUUGCGAGGAUAUAUUCUUUGUUUCUCUCUUCUGCUUUCUUCCAAUAUAAAUGUCUAUUUAUAGUGGUUGGACAGCUUGAUCUGAAACAUACAUCAGAAUUAACUAGUAAUGGCGGGGUGUACAGUUAGUCAGAUGAGGCCACCUACGGAGCCGAAGCCAAUGAGGCCACCUACGGAGCCGAAGCCAACGAAGGCUUCCCCCCACAAGUUCGCGAUUAUCACAAAUGAAGCAGAUAGUUCUAUCAAUCUUGAAGAGCGAAUGUACACCGGGAUCUUCUUGAAACGGAAAAGAAGGGUAAUUUAAGCCAUCAGGUUUCAGUCUCUUUGCGUUUCGUUUGAAUCAGUUCAAGUUGCAAAUUUGUACCAGAAUAAUUAGGAAUUUGGUCAUCUGAUAGGCAGGCUGAAUUUUCUUGAAUUUGUAUGGCGAAAAGGGUUGUAAGUUUAUUCUGAUUCGCAUUGUCACAUAAUGUCUUAAAUGAAGAUCUUUCUUCUUUUUCUUUUUUCUUUUUUUCUGAAAAAUGGUAGAGAGGGUUUAGCUUGAUCUGUUCAUUAAGAUAUCUGCUCACCUUAGUUCAUGCUUUGAGUUGUCAUUCAGAAAUACUGGGUGGAGAAGGACACCAAUUACAAUUGCUUCAUGGUGUUUGCGAGGGACUUGUCAAUAACAUGGAGUGAAGACCCAAAAUACUGGUGUUGGCUCACUCAAAAGGAAACAAGGUGACACUAUCUCAUAUUGCCUAAUAUCUAGUACCUGUAAUAGAUCUACCAUAAUCUGAUAAGGCCACAAAAUUUUCCAAUUUCAAUGUUAUUCUGCAUCGGCACAAGCCUAGAUGAUGCUACGAUAUAUAAUUAUACAAAAUAUAAGCCCUUUUCGCACCAUAAACAUUAACUUGUAGAGCUUACUAUUCAUUUCAUUUGGUAUCACAUUUUGUUAUUUUGCGUGUAAUGUUUGCAUAAUUCUGGAAUCUCUCUGCCAUUAUUCAUUAACUCAACAGCAAACUUUGCUAUAUAUGUGCAAUUAAUAAGUUCCACCACAAGACUAACUGCCCCUCCCAUAACACUUUGUUGGUAGCGGCGAAGAGAUUGAGGUGGCAUCACUGCUAACUGUUUGCUGGCUGGAAAUCAUUGGAAAAUUUGAAGUAUCUUAUCUCACGCCAGGAGUCACAUACGUAGUCGCAUUCAUUGUAAUGAUGAACGAUGGGGCGUACGGGUGGUCUACCCCAGUGAAACUCAGGCUAAAGUUGCCCGAUGGGAGCGUUCAACAACGCGAGGAGAGCAUGGAAGAAAAGCCUAGAGGGAAAAGCCUUAUGCUUCAAGUUGGCGAAUUCACGACGAAAGCUGAACAGGAAGGAGAAAUGGAGAUUUCACUGUUCGAGUACGAAGACGGGAGCUGGAAGCGAGGGCUGACAGUUAUAGGUGUGAUUAUCCACCCAAAGUAUUUGCGGCUUCCGCCAUAAGAUAUGCAAUCCAUCACCAUGCUUAUGGAACUGUCGAUCUACCUAUUUAUGUUGUUGUUCGUGAAAUGUAGUAUGAAGAAACUAAAUUGUGAGAAUAAGAUGUGAUCAGAUAUGAGAAAAUUUUGAGUGUAAUAAGAUAUUUUGAAUACACUUUUAAAAGUAUUCUGCACAGAGAAUCUCAUUAACCCUUUAACCUUGCCAGAUUCCUUUUGAAUAAACUCUUGGGGCUGUUGAAUCUCAUAUUAACUAGAAGUUAAUUGUUACUCAAUUAUGAUAUUAAUUAAGCAGCGAAUAGGAUAUAUUCUCACUACUAUAGGAAGCUUUGCCGAGUAUCUUCUUCCACACCCUUUUUACAGUAAAGAAUUUUGGUGAUAAGAAUAAGAAAUUCAUAAUGUCUUUAAAAGCAAGCAUAAGAUUUGCGAGGAUAUAUUCUUUGUUUCUCUCUUCUGCUUUCUUCUAGUACAAAUGUUUCAACCAUAGCAGUUGGACAAGCUUAAUCUGAAACAUACAUCAGAAUUAACUAGUAAUGGGGGGUUGUCCAGUUAAGCAAGCAAGAAGGCCUCCUGUUGUAACAUCACCGACGCCGAAACCUCCAUUUGUAACACCACCAACGCCGAAGCCACCUACAGAGCCAGAGCCAAUGAAGGAUUUCCCCCACAAGUUCGAGAUUAUCACAAACGAAGCAGAUAGUUCUAUCAAUCUUGAAGAGCGAAUGUACACCGGGAUCUUCUUGAAACAAAAAAAAAGGGUAAUUUAAGCCAUCAGUUUUCGCUCUCUCUGCGUUUCGCGUGAGUCAGUUCUUGUACCAGAAGGAAUUUUCUUGAAUUUGUAUGGUGAAAAAGGUUGAAGUUUAUUCUGAUUUGUAUAGUUACGUACUGCCCGAAAUGAAGAUCUUAAUCUUGAUAUCUGUUCAUUAAGACAUCUGCUACUCACCUCCCUCUCAAAAAAGGCAAAAAGAUAUCUAAUCACCUUAGUUCAUGCUUUGUAUUGUGAUUCAGAUAUAUUGGGUGGAGGAGGAAACCAAUUACAAUUGCUUCAUGUUGUUUGCGAGGGACUUGUCAAUCAUAUGGAGUGAUCACCCAGAAUACUGGCGUUGGCUCACUCAAAAGGACAUAAGGUGACAUUAUCUCAAAUUGCCUAAUAUCUACUACUUAUAAUAGAUCUAUCAUAAUUCAACCGAAGCUCACGUAAAUUAUAGAUGAUGCUACUAUAUAUAAUUAUACAAAAUGUAAGUCCUUAUCGCGCCGUAAAUGUUAAACUUGUAGAGCCUACUUUUCCUGUCAGUCUGUUUCUGAUUUUGCUAGUUUGUGUGCAAUGUUUGCAUCUGAGUUAGUUCUGAACUCUCUCUGUUAUUAUUCAUUGAGAGUUUGUCCACUACAACACUAACUGCUCCUCUCUUAACACUUUGUUGGCAGUGGUGAAGAGAUUGAGGUGGCUUCACUGCUAGAUGUUUGCUGGCUGCAAAUCAGUGGAAGAUUUGAAGUAUCCUAUCUCACGCCAGGAGUCACGUACGCAGUCGCAUUCGUUAUAAUGAUGAAAGUUCCGGCGUACGGGUGGUCUACCCCAGUGAAGCUUGCGCUCAAGUUGCCCGACGGGAGCGUUCAGCAACGCGAGGAGAGCUUGGGAGGAAAGCCUAGAGGGAAGUGGCUUGUGCUUCAAGUUGGCGAAUUCACGACGAAAGCUGAACAAGGAGGAGAAAUGGAGAUUUCAUUGAUAAGCUUUGAAGACUUGUGCUGGAAGAAAGGGCUGACGGUAAAGGGCGUGAUUAUCUGCCCGAAAAAUCUGCAGCCUUCACCAUAAGAUCUACAAUCCAUCACCAUGCUUAUGGAACUUCUGGUGUAUCUGUUUAUGUUCUUGUUUGUGAAAUGAAGUAGCAUGAUGAAACUAAGUUGUGAGAGGCUUAUGAAACUUUUAGUUGUGAGAGGCUUAUGAGGGGCUUUGUCGCCGUUUCAGGGCAAUACAGGGACCAUCCACACAUUUUACCCAAUAAAUAUUGCAAACUUUACAGUGACAGCUACUACCAUCUUAACACAAAUUACACAACUUCAAGCCCUUGAUCUUCACCAUAUUAGGAAUUAUUACACAAACAAAGUUACAAAACGCAUAAACAUAUCCGAUUUUUUGUCUGUUAGUCAAUACUUAUUACAAGCUAAGGAAUAAGCCAAACUUACCCAAAGAGACAAACUGAAGAAACAUUACCAAGAGAGUAAUUAGCAUUAAGUUCUAAAAAUUUCAGGAACCUGUCAAUCUUUUGUCUGCCGGAGCGGUAUAUACAAUGGUGACCUUAUGCUUUGUCAAUAUGCAAGCUGCAGCAGCAUCAGCAAAGAUGUGAGAAAUGACAUGCAGAUAUGUAAUCUAGAUUAAUUAUCUGAAUACGCAAAUAUACCAUCAUGUGAUCAAGUAAUAUUUUGGCUCCUUAAAAAAAUAAAGAUGAUGCAAAACAACAUCGGAAAAAAGAAUAUGCGAGCUGGUUAUGAACCAAACUUCAUGUUAUUACAGAAUUCAGUUGAGACAGUCGUGCAGCAAAAAAUAAUUGACAAGAAAACAUAAAGAAAGAAAAUGAAAGCAAUAAAAAGCUUAUUAUAAGCAAUAAAAGCGAUAUGGAGUUUUACUUGUAGCAGAAAGUAACCUUAAAAGCAGUCCCAGUCAGAUAUCCAUCAAUCACCUCCAAAAUUCUCAUAACUUAGACCUUCAGAUAUGGUAUCUAAUCUUCUAUUUUCUGCCUCUGUUUCAAACAAGUGAAGUUAUAACGGAUGUCAGUACCAGAUUCAAGACAGCACACAGAAGAGAAAAUCUCACCUUUACCUUCUCCCACAGAAUCCGAGAAGUUAUUUCCAUCAGCAGGGAGGAAAGGAGAUCUACCAUAAUUCUCCAAAAUGUCUUCAAAUAGACAAAUGCAGAUAAUAUAUUAGAAUGUAAACAGAGAAGGAUACAGGAAGUAGCAAGGAAUCAAAAUAAGGAGAUUGACAACAUAUCUUAAAAGUGAAGAAACACAAAGCUACCAACCAGCACUCUGGGUGAAGUCCUCUGUUAAAUCUGAAAAACUGAAGUUUCGAGGGACCUGACUUAAGAAACCAAAAGACGUUGCAUCCAUAUCCAGAAGAGGAUCGCUGAGUGGUUGACCAGUCAACUCCGAGCUGCUAAAGGAUCCGCCAGAUGCAUCUCCAAUAGCUGGCCGUGCUGCUUCUAGGAAGGCGUUAUCGUUACAGAAUGCAAAAUCCGAAUUGCUCGAGUAGCUAGGUUCGGUCUUUACUGCUGUCCCGUUCACUCCAGCAAUCCUUCCUAUGGUUGAGUUUUGCAUCGACGGCAGGCUCGAUGAAGCAUCGAUGCCGCUAGGAAGGCCGGGAACAUCUUUGCUUGCCAGAAUGAACUGUUGUCCAGAUGGUGCACCGUUCAUCAUACCACUAGAAGAACCUCCAUUGCACAGCAUGUUAUCCUGCCUUGUCGAUGUUGGUAUAUGUUCCGAUAAAUAGGAUGGACUUUGAUGCACUGAAACAAAAUGGCAUGAAUUAUGACGUUAUACAAUGACAUGAAUUAUGACAUUAUACCCACAACUAAUAAGGAGGCAUAAAAUUAAACAAACUUUCCUACUUUGAUAUACUUAUGUUACACCAUAAUCAUGAAAAUGCAGGUUUGCUACAAAUCGAGUUAACUAAGUGUUCAUAACAAUGAAAUGUACUUCCACAGAUCCAAACCUGUAAUAGAGACAAGGUGAUGAGCUCUAAAAAACAAACAAGAAAAAAAAGCAGCAGUCUGUGCACAAAACAAUCAGAUGGUCAAUAUUGAUUAGUGCCACUUGGUAUGCUUCCUUUAUGUGGAAAAUACAUUUAGUCUAAAUACAGUCAAGAAUAUUAUAAACAUAAGUGAACCAUACAUUUAAUUAUCAGUGGUGAAAUAAAUAUGUUUAUGCUGAUAAUUGUACUCAUCUUGACAGACACGAGAGAACAGGUCCAAGGGAGAAAAUAAAGUCCACUACGACAGAAGUAGCAUAAAAAAGUGAAAACAUCCAUACAUGUGGAAGCCUCGGAUCCAUUGGAUAGAGGCACGGAAGGAACUCCUGACUGAUAUUCUUUGCUCAUGAGGCGAUACUGAUCCUCAAGUAACUUGUUGAAUAUCAUAAUUUGAUUCUUGAGCCUCAGCCUAACAUAAUAAGCUUUGAAAAACUCCCGAUUCUCUUCUUCAAGUUUCUGCCAAACUGAAAAAACAAACAAAAUAGGCAACCAUAAAUUUCAUGCUAGCAAUGAAGACGUUGGUAAAAAGCACCAAACUAACAAUACUUGUCUGUUAAAGAUAAAUCACAGGGUCUUCGGAAAGCAUAAGCUAUUUCAUAUACCAAAGAAAAAAAAAAACCAUUUCAUUUGCAUUAUGUUGAUACGUUUUGACAUAAUGCAUCCAGAAAAACUGACAGUUUGUCAAAUAUCAAUAUAAAUUAGAAGAGUUUGUUUGGCAGAGAUCAUUUUGAAAUGAAAGCAGAUCUCAAACCAUGUUGGCUCAAGUGGUUUCAGCCUUCAAUACGACAUUCAGUCUCAGGCUGUUCUCAAAAAGAUAGCAGGAAGCCUUACCAAGUUCAGUAAAACUAGGUUCUAUUUUCGCCUGAUAGGAGAGAGUGCUGACAACUUCUUUCUGGUCCAUAUAGAGCUGGAGGCAGCGCUCAAUAAGAUUUUGGACCUGCAGCAGAAAACGGAAAUCUCGGAAAAAUAAAUGUCAAAAGUAAUACCUAAGUAGUUGAUUCCAUGCAACGAUGACCAAAACUGCAGCAAGAAGACACUGAAUUUCAUUUUUUACAUGCAUGACAGGAGUUCUCACAUUAUGAAGUCAGAAGAAACAAAGGAGAUACCAAUACAAGAUCGCAACAAAUACUUUCUAUAAAAUUGUUUUGUCUUUCAAAUCUUAUGCAGAAGUGAAUAAACGCUAUUCAUCGACCUAUAUGAAAGAUAGUUGCAAAACAGUAAAAGUAUGUCGUAGCAAUCAAGUAGCACAAAAUAUUAGCUUCUCCUCAUCCACAUGUCCGUAUUUCGUGCCAUGUAAAACUGCAAGGUCCUUGAUCUAAUCAUUGUGAAACCUUAAGGGUUCAAUCCAACUUUUGUGCAAUUGAUGAUCCACACCAUUGAGUGUAAUCUGGAGUUUUUGAAGUCACUAGAGGAUGCGAAAAUGAAUGGUAUGAACUGAAUGAGCUUGAUCAACAUAGUAUAUGAGUCCUCAAUCGAUAACUAUUAGAAAAGUGAAUUAUUACCUGCACCUAGAAUGUAAGAAACAAUCAAUCAUGCCAAAUUUAACAAAAGAAUAGGGAAUUGCAUUAAUCCACAUAGUUUGGUAAAAGUAAUAGCAGGGGUAGAAUAGAACUGCAUUUACAAGCUGUAUAUCCUGCCGAGACACCUUCCGGACUUCGUUGCUCGACAUCUUUCCUUUUUACAGAAUUACUACUUCAGCGACCACCUGCUAUUUUAACCUAAUUCAGAAAUGAAUAACAUCUAGCACAACAAUUACAUCAUAGUUUCACACAAGAAAUAUCAAAUUCUUAUAAAUUCGCCAGUUUCUAUACAUAUCAUACGAUAAUUCGAGCCAUAAUUCGAGCCAAAAAAAAAGGGGGCAAAACACAAGGAGAGUUUCAGAUGAAACGGAUUUGAGGUUUCAAAACCCUAACCGAUCUGAGCAGCUCCCUAGCACAAUAGUUGAAACCCUAGAAAUCGAGGACGGAAAAUUAGGAUGCGUUGAUAUAUGAAUUGGGGGAUUUGAUCUUUGAUUUGUUUAUCCGGGGGGUGGGGGAGGAGAGAGAAGGGGGGUUAGGGUUAAGGAUUGCAUCACCUGAUUGAAGACGGAGGGAGGGAGGGAGGGUUGUGGGGAGAGUCGAAGGUGGGGUUGUUUGAUGCUGCCGUCGGCAGAAGUCGAGGGGAAGGACGCAUGUACGGACGGAUGCGGAAAUGGGAAAAGGGUUUGCGGCCUGCACCAAGCGAGCAAACCGACGAUACUGCGGUCUGCACGUCUGCUGCGCAGGAUUCGAAUGUGGGUCUGAGUCUGGUCCCGUCAGUUAGUAAUAAUAGUAAAAUGGCUAAAUCUAUAAUCUAUCUACCUAUCUAUAAAACAUUAUUAAUCUUCGUACUCUUAUCCUACGUGACGUGUUCUUCUUAAAUUUUGCUCAUCGAACCCACCUCAAGAGUCUCUCCCAUUUUCGAUUUCUAUUUUUCAAUUGCUUUGUUUCGUUCGUUUCUCCACAAUGUGUCUGUUUGUCGUUCCAAUAACAUUGUUGCCUCUUCGGCUUUCCUCCUCAUUAAGUAUCUUCACUCGUCUUUUCCGUAACAUCUUUACCUUUUCAGCUUCUCCCCAUUAAAUGCUACUCUCCAAUCACUUCACUCUUCAUUUGUGCUCGUUUGUUUUUUUCGUAAAAUUGUUUUCUCUUCGACUUCUUGCCUAAUUAAUUUCUACUUCCUACGGAUCGUUGCUUCAUAAUAAAUGAUAAAGAAAGAAGACUUUAUUCCUUAAAUUUUUUUCUUUAUUGUAUAUUACUGUUCAUAAAUAAGUUAUUUGAGUUAUAUAAAAAUUGACAAAAUAAAAUUAUCAAAAAUACUGAUUAAAUCGUCAUGUUGCAUCAACAGAAUAAAUAUAAUAUAUAGGUUGUUUGGCUCAUAGAUGAUUGAUGUAUAAAAAUUAGGUCUUUACAAUUUAGGUAGUUAAAACUAACUAUUAUUACUUUUAAAUCUAUAAAACACUAUUAAUUUUCAUAAUCUUAUCCUAUGUGCGUGCUCUUCUUAAGUUUUGCUCAUGGGACCCACCUCAAGAGUCUCUCUCAUUCUCGAUUUCUAUUUUUCAAUUGCUUUGUUUCAUUCGUUCCUCCUGUUUGCCAUCCCAAUAACAUCAUUGCCUCUUCGACUUUUCCCCUCAUUAAGUGUGUUCACUUGUUUUUUUUGUAACAUCUUUUUCUUUUCAGCUUCCUCCCCAUUAAAUGCUGCUCUCCAAUCACUUCGCUCUUCAUUUGUGCAUGUUCGUUUUUUCCGUAAAAUCAUUAUCUCUUCGAUUUUUUGUCUCAUUAAUUUCUACUUUUUACGAAUCGUUGCUUCAUAAUAAAUGAUAAAGAAAGAAAACUUUAUUCUUUAAAUUUUUUUCUUUAUUGUACACUAUUGUUCAUAAAAAAGUUAUUCGAGUUACAUAAAAAUUGACAAAGUAAAAUUAUCAAAAAUACUGAUUAAAUUGUCCAGUUGCAUUGACAGAAUAAAUAUAAUAUAUAGGUUGUUUGGCUCAUGGAUGUAUGAAAAUUGGGUCUUUACAAUUUAGGUAGUUAAAUCUAACUACUAUUAUUUUUAAAAUUUAUUUAUAUGAAUGUCAAAUAUUUCUUAGUACUUUUUUUCAAUUUCUUUACAUUCUGUACUAAUUAUAUAAUAGCAUGGCAAUUUUUAUGUCCAUUGGUAAAUGCAAUAAUAGUUAGUGUUUAAAAGAAAUCUGAUUUGUGUUAGAAAAGAGGAUAGAACAGAUAAAUCUUUUUAUAUGAUUAGUUAAAUAUGAAUUUGAAUAUCUUCGGUUUAUCUUUUAUUAGUUGUUAUGCCUUCUUCAUAACAUUUUAAAUAUCUCUUCAUGAUAUUUACAUAAUCAUUUUCUUACUUCUAUAUUUCUCACUUUUUUCGUUUCUUAUAUUGUUUUCUAUUAGAUUGUAAUUCUAUUCUAAAAAUUUUUCUGUAGUUUUCACAUUAUUAAAUCAAUUUUUAUAUUUUUAUUUGUUUAUUUAAUCCAUAAAUUUUUACUAAAAUAUUCUUACCCGCCACAUCGCGCGAGUCUCUACACUAGUUAUAAAAGAAACUCCUCUGUAAAUACUUAUUUUUUACUUUUUCUUUCUAAUUUUUAAAAAUUUAUAUUUUAAUUUUCUACAAUUUUAAAAAUAUUUUUAAAAGAGCAUGGCGUUAAUAGACAGAGUAAAAUGACCAAAUUACUCUUAUUUUUUCUAUAAAAAAAUAAUUUUUUAAUAUAUUUUUAUUAUUUUGAAGGAUAUUUUUGGAAUAAAUUAUAAGAAAUAGACAGAGCAGUGAUGGAAUCCUGUCGGAGAAGGGCUAAAUGCAAAAACUUGAAAUCUUUAGGGGAUACAUUAAUAUAGAUUUUUAAAAAUUAGGGAGGAAAAAUAAAAAAAACAUGUAUUCAUAAGAAGGUUUUGUGUAAUUUAGCCUAGAAAAAUUAAAGUAAAAAAUGUAUAAAACUUGCAUAAAUUAUAGACUAUAUAUAUAUUUUGUCUUCAGUGUCUUAUUUGUUAAAAUUUUAAUUUUAUUAUCUAAUCAUUUAAUGUAUUUGAUUUGAAUCAAGUAACCACACUUGCACUUCGAAAUUAAUGAAUAUAUAGUUAUGAGAAUUAUAUAAAAUGUACUCAUUAAAUCUGUGAAGAUAAACAAAAUUUUAAAGUUAAAAUAUCGUUAAUGGACUCAAAUCAUGUAAAUUGAAAAGUUAUAUAUAGUAAAAUCAAAAAUUUGGAAAGUAAGAUAGGUAAAUCAAAAUAGUUCAUAUUUUUUACCCAGAAUUAAAUAGGAUUUUCUCUCAAUAAAUAAAUAAAUAAAUAAGAUCAGUGCUUUAAAAAGCUUAAUAAUUGAUAUUUUAGUUCUCAAGUUUGAAAUUUAAUUAUUUUACAUUUAUAAUAAAAUUUAUUUAGAAAAAACAAAAUUAGACCAUUCUCUCAAAAGAACAAAUAAAAUUAAGUAGGAAUAAUUUAGUAUGCACGCUUCAAAAAUUUUAAAAUUGCAAAGUUAUUUCCUGCAAAUGGUCAAUUAUCAAAUAUAUCAUUUUAAAGCUUCAAAAUAUGCAAAUAUAUUUCUAUAGAUUGACUCUCGUUCAUUAGCAGUUAAAAUUUUAGCGUUUAGAUAAUUAUGCUCUUUCCUCUUUUAUAAUUAGCAUGCCAAAACAGUUGAUUCUUAUAAGAAAAUUUUUCGACGAAAAAAAAGUAUUACGCUAUUAAUUAGCGUUUUGGUUUAAAUAAAAAUUAAUAUUUUAUAAUUUUAUAUAUAAUCCAGCAUCGAUCGUCGCACACUUGUGCAAAAGAUUGAACACGCAUUUCAACAACAUAUUAGAGUUGUAGGCCUUGAAAUUUUCGAACCUUCAUAAAUAUACAACAAUAUACUAAAAUAUGAACUCAAAGCUUUGUAAAAAAGAACAAUUAUUUCGCGUUACUCCUCAAUUAUCGCGUUUGGAAAAAAAAUUAUAUACGUGUCGCCCGUUAAUCCCGUUAAUUUGAUUAGUUAUUCCAUGCACGUGACACUCUAACCAAUCCCUAUUAAAAGAAAUAAAUAAAAUGGUUGGAGACAAAGAAGCUUUGGAGAGCACAUGCUAUGUCGAUGUGUUAAGGGCUAAAAUCACUGCGUGAUAUCGUGUGUUAGAUUUUUCUCAUUCACUUUUGGAGUCAAAAAGAGGAAACCAAUGCAGUUAUUGUAUCAUACGAGCAUGGCCAAGAGAGAAAAAGUUCCAUUCAAAAAAAUAAAAAACAAAAGGUAUAGUGUAAGAACCUUCACAUGGUGGUGUCGAUGCUUUUUUAUUUGCUUAGUAAACGAUGUACUUAGUGCAUCAUACGAUUGUAGUUCUAAAAACUCUACGAUAAAAAUUUUAAUAUUUCCAUAUUUUGGACUCCUGUUUGUUCUUUUUUUUUUUUUUACAAAUUAUGUAAAUAAUGUUUUAGUUUCAAGAUAGUAAUUAACAAAUAUUGAAAGCUUUUCAGCUCUUGGGAUGUGGUCAAGGGAUUCAUACAUAAUUUAUUCAACACAAUUACACUUCACAAGGUGCUUAAAGUGUUUACCUUUUGGAAAUAUGGAUUGUUUAACCCUUGAUCUUAGUGCAUGAUUCUUGUGAUCUGAACCUUAUUUCAGAAACUAUUACUUCUUUAUUUGGCUUCUGUCACUUCCCCCAGGGUGGUAAGCUAACUUUUGCAUGCAGUUAGAGAAGGAAUAGAAAAAUAGAACAUAUUUGGGGCUUUGUGAUCAUUUUAUGUUGGACAAAAUGAUUAGACUUGCUAUGAUUCAAAAGGAGAGGAAUGGUGAAGAUGAUUCAAACUCUGCUCUAGCCAUAUGGUUUAGAAUCCCUUAUAUAAAUACUUUAUUAUAAUACUUCUUAGAUUCUGAUACUUGAAGAUGUAUUUUGAGAAACUUAAUAGAACUUCAAUGUGUACUAAUAUAAACCAAAAAAAAAAAAAAAAUCCUAACAAAGAGUCAUAUUUGAGACAGAUCUAUAAAGUGUAGAAUUGACAGAAUUUAAGCCAAAGACAAAUAUAUUUAAUUUGAUUAGUUCUCCUAAAUUUAGUUGACAAUUCACGAAACUUAAGACCUCUUUUAGCAUCAGUUACAAUUAACUAACACGUACUCUUCAGCUCUAUUAAUUAACUAGAAAAGUCUCCGGAGUAGUUAAAAUUAACAACAUCAUCAUUAGAUUUAAUAAAAUACUGAACUUAAUUUUGUAAAUUUAGAAUGUUGUGUGUCGAAAUAUAAAUGAUUAAGGGGUCUCUGUGCAUGUUUACCCAGUUUCUGAUGUACAAAGAGAGCCAAAGAGGUGUCACUACUGCAUCAAAGACUCUUCUCUAUUCAAAAACCAAAACAUGACCAACUUAUUACACAUCCUCCCCCUCCUCCUCCUCCUCCUACUAUUCUCCUCACUCUCCACCCUCUCCACCCUCGCCAUGGCCACCACACCACCCCAUCAAAACCCCUACAACCCCUUCUCCUUGGAGACCCCCUCACAGUUGGUGGACUUGGCCUACCACAUGGGCCCGGUCGUCGCGGCGUCUCCGACCAACCUCUACCUCAUCUGGUACGGCCGCUGGGACGCCCCCUCCCAGUCCAUCAUCCGCGACUUCCUCCUCUCGCUCUCCGACGCCGACGGCAAGAAUUCGUCUUCUCCGCCUCCCGCCGUCGCCUCCCCCUCGGUCGCCGACUGGUGGCGCUCCACCGCCUGCCUCUACACCGACCAGACCAGCGCCAACAUCACGUCCGGCUUCACUCUCGCGCAGGAGUACCGCGACGCCGCCUACUCCCACGGCACGUCGCUCUCCCGCCUCUCCGUCCAGUCCGUCAUCCGCUCUGCCGUCACCGGUUGUGAACUCGUAACUUUUCACUCUAUUUUGAUACAAUAGUUUAGGCUGAUAGAUAACAAUGUGCUGUCACUGGCACUGUCAAUUACUCUAGAAGCUGAAACUGAUAGACGUCAGUAUCGUAGACUCGUAAUAUUUCGUUCUAUUCUGAUAUAACAGUUAAAGCUGACAGAAAAUAAUAACAGAUGUCGGUACGAUAUGACAGCUUAUGCUCAUAGAGAAUGGUGUUUUAAGCUUAUACUCAAACUCUAUAAUACAGGAUAUCCGGAACGGCUGCCUCUCGAUCCCUACAAUGGUCUCUACCUAGUAUUGACGUCGCCGGACGUCCGCGUCGAGGACUUUUGCAGAGAAGUGUGUGGCUUCCACUACUUCACAUUCUCCGCCAUCGUCGGGGUCACCGUGCCAUUCGCGUGGGUCGGACACAGCGGAGUGCAGUGCCCGGGGAUGUGCGCGUUCCCGUUUGCGCUACCGGAGUACAUCGGCGGCGGGGAGAGGAACGGAACGGCGGCCAGUAAUAACUUACGCGCGCUGGGUGUGCCCAACGGAGACGUCGGAGUGGACGGCAUGAUCAGCGUGAUCGGGCACGAGCUGGCGGAGAUGGCGAGCAACCCGCUGAUCAACGCAUGGUACGUGGGCGACGACCCCGCGGCGCCGACGGAGAUCGCCGACUUGUGCGUGGGGGUGUAUGGGACCGGAGGGGGAGGGGGUUAUGUGGGGAGUGUGUACAAGGGAGAGCAAGGGGAGGGGUAUAAUUUGAAUGGGGUGAAUGGGAGGAGGUUUCUGGUGCAGUGGCUGUGGAAUCCUGUGAGGAAGAGUUGCUUUGGACCAAAUGCUCUCAACUGAGACUGGAGUUUUGAUACAUUGGUUCUCACUGGUUGAGAACAAAAGCAGUUGAUGGUCUCCUCUGGUUUUUUUUUUUCCCUUCUUUUUUUUUUUCUAUAUAUUUUUAUAUGGAUUGUCGCUACUGUGACAAAUUAGUCAAAAUCAAAGGGCUGCAACAAUUUUUUAGGUCUUAUUUUGUGUCUUAAUUUUAUUUUUUUUUUUCAAACACAAAUUCACGUUUUAUAUCUUUUUUUCUCAAAUAUAAUUUGUGCUAUCAAGUGUAUGUGUGGAGGGAUGACAAAAUUUUGCAUUCCGCACGUUUUUAUAGCAAUAAAAAACAAAAAUCCAAUGGUGGCUUUACAGCACAAAUUAUAAGCUAACCGAUCAUGACAAGAAUAAGAAAGUCGAUAGUAAAAACCUUGGUUCCAACCAUGGCAAUUGACAAGUACUGUUUUCAAGCUUGAUUUUUUACAGAAAUUAGUGUACCACAACAUUAACCCACUUUAAACCCUGCAUUAACCCGCCUUAAACCCUGUAUACCCAACUUUGAUUUGGUGCAUACAACAGCAUCAACAUAAUCAAGCAGGUUAGAGUAACAUAUUUGAAAUUUAGAUUGACAAACCUUGCAAUAAGAUGACAACUAUGGAUAAAUUAUACAAAAACUGUAUGGACAGGGAGGACUUUACAAUCUAUAUAUAGACUCCUAGCCAAACUAGGCUCAUCCGACAUCGCGUUGAGUUCCUACCACCAAAGAAGAGUUGGGAGCGCCAGAAGGCGAGAAACUUCACAAACUGGCCGACAAAAUACUUGCUGAGAUCUUCAGGCCAAGUCAUUAAGUUGUCAGAAGUCUGCGAGUUCAUAAACCAGUUACGAAUAGGCAGACCUAGCAACUCAUGUUAAAUGUAUGAAAAGACAUUAGUUAUUUUGUACAUACCGCUGGAUUUGGGAAGUUAAGGCUCUUUCCAGAAAAUCCGAAACCGGCUACUUUCAGGCCACUGAAAAUUACGAGCAGCAUUGUACUGCGACAAAUCGAAGGAGAUGGUUUCUACCUGCCAGCAAUCAAAGCAAACAAGAAAUGAGAAGAAUAAGACAAUUUUAUUGCAUAAUCAGAAGAAAUAUGCGGGUUGCAGUAUAAACCGACCCCAUACGGAAAGCUUUCCUGCGUCCCGCUAGGAGGUAGUGCCCACCCCUCAUGGAGUUGUUCAUGUUGCACCUAUUCAUAGCAAGUUCCAUGUGAAAUGACUCAUAAAUAAUUGAUAAAAUGGAGAGAACAAGAUUAUAAAUAUCUUACAUGGGCGUCAUUAUUCAUAGUAGUAUCAUUAUUCCUCGGGUUCAAGUUGCUUGAAGUGUUUCUCCUCUUUCUUUCGGAAGUCGUCUUAUUCUUAUUCAGAGGGUUAAGAACAGCUCCCCUCAGACCAGUGGGUUUCUUCUUCCGCGAGCGACCUUUUGAAUGUGCUUGUGAAGGUUCCCAACCCUUGGUAUUUACAAUGGCAGGUGGUCGAUCAUCCGCAAAAUCCUCAUUGAUUGGAUUAUAGGAAUAACCUGUUGAUCCAAUCUCACUGUUAAUUCUCUGAUCUCGCAAUGACUUCUCGAAUGCUAUUACCUUAUCUUUAACCUCCUUCAUCAUCGAUAAAGCAUACUCCUUAGAACCAAGGUUAGUGGCUCCGAUUUCCACGAUUUCCAGAAAAUAUCGAUGGGUAUGCCUAUACAGAUCGUCAAAGCUUCCCAGUUCCUGAGUAGGCGCUACGAAAGGUGAAGCAAUAGAUGCUUGUAAGCGCUUAAAAUCGUUCCGCCAACGAGUGAUAAUGUAUUUUGAUGGAAUUAACAUCACAAGCUCUUGUCUCAAUACAGACAGAGCAUGCCUGCACAAAAUACCUCUGUGCUGGAAUGACCUGCAAAUGCACCAUAUAUCAUCCUCGACAUUGUCAUAGGCCACUCGGUAAUCAAUCUUCUUUCCAUUUACAAACUCUGUGACUACAUACGAAACUACAGAACCGCUUCUAUUGAGUACAUUACUGCUAACUUGGAAUAAAUGCUUUACUUCGCACUGGAACUUUUCAAAGAUGCUUACCGUAUAAACUCGUGAGACUUGCUCCUCAAAAGGAAAACCGGUUAGUAACUGUGGCCUCAUUUGAAUUGAACGAAAUUCUUCAUAAGCUUCUUUCUCAAAUAUACUUUUAAUACCAUCAUCAUACCGUUCAAGAAACAUUUGCAAUGAAGUUUUGCUUGUCGACCAUCCAUCGGAAACGCUACUAAUGCUGUCACCUCUCUCAGUGAUAGACAUGCCUGCCCAGAAUGUAUCCUUCACAAACACGGGCGCCCAAUGCUCCCUAAUUUCAUAUAAAUUGGAGAACCAUUCAUUACCUUCGAGCUUGAAUUGCCCGAUCAUUUCUUGCCAUUCUUUUUCAAAAUCAGGAAUUAACAGUGAAUCAUAAACCACACGUUGGAAUUUGAGACCUAUUGCCUCCAUCUCUUCCACUCCCCUUAACUUCUCAGGAAGCGCUUUCAAAAUGCUCCAAAGGCAAAACCUAUGCUGCACAUGGGGAAAAACCUUUCUAAUAGCUGUAACUAUGUUCCGACAAUGAUCAGUUAUUAUCGCAUUUGGUGGUCUAUCAUUCAUGCAUCUUAAAAAUUUAUUAAAAAGCCACGUAUAGGUUUGGAAAGUUCUAUCCGUAACCAGACCACAGGCCAAUAACACCUCCUGACCAUGGUGGUUCACUCCAGUAAAUGUGAUAAACAACACGUUGCUCAGAUCUGUGAAGUUUGCCACGCUAACUUUGACGACGUCUCCAUAGUAACUAUAUGAACCUCUAGAUCGAGCAUCGGCCCAAAAAACAUUUCUAAGCUGGCCUUCUUCAUUCAUAUCCAAACUGUAAAAGAAAUAUGGAUUUUGAUCUUGCAUUUUGUCGAAGUAACUUAAAAGGACUUCUAAAUCCCCUUCCUCAAGCUCUAAUUUUCUAAUAUUUCCUAUCUCAAUUCUGGAAUCUCUUUGAGUAGAUGAACCUUGAACAGACACGGCAUCAACAGAGUUGCUUGGAGGAGCAUCCUUGCUGUCUCCAAUCAGGAGCUGCUUUUUUCCAAAAAAAGGAGACUUCUUAAAACAAUUCAUGAACUUAACAAUGUUAGGCUCAAGUGGAUGGUUGUGCUCCAAUUCAACAACAACCACCUCCCAACGGUUUUGAAAAUGAUGAUCUUUAAUGAUCAUUUUAGCUUUGCAACCAGUCUUGCUUGCUUGUUUUCUUGGAGGUCUGGUAAUCUCUUUUUUGACCCUAGACUUACCUCCCUUGUGACAUAUAAAUGUAGUACGGUAUACAUACCCUUCAAUUGUAUUAUUUGACCUUCUAACUAUUCCAAACCCUGUGCGAUAGGCAUAUCCCAUAUAAAACUGUAAAGCUUCUUCCUCAGACCCAAAUACCAUACCCAACUUUGGUAUAAGUUCGGUAUCACUAUUAGCUGGAUUAUUCUUGCCGCUUCCUACUUGGCACUGGAUUUCGUCUCCAAUGUGCUCUGUUUCUGAGUCUUCUUUCGAGGAUUCGGAAGAUUGGUCUUCCAUUGGUUUACGACAAGCAAAUUUAACCUACGUUACAAUAAGCUUGUAUUAGCCAUUAACCACGGGUAAAUGUACAUACAAUUGAAUGUAAGAAAGAUUGAUACAUGAAACUUCUUAAAUAUUAGUUUAGCCAUUACAAUGAAUUAUGAAAGUGUUUCAAAAGUUGUUGUACAGGGCGAAAAUUAAAAGGCUGAAUGCAGGCAAAUACACCAUAUCCUAUUUACCAAAAACUUUAAUAGAUUUAUGAAGUUUAUUAAUGAAUUACAAAGAGAUUACAGCAGUAUCACAAAUCGACGCGAGAGAUGCAUCCAAAAGGAAUGAAGCAAGUAGAAAACAUGAAAGAUGGUAGGAGCUACUGACAUGCCAUGGACAUUCUACAUUUAUACUUGAGGCAAGCUAUCUGAAAUUAACAUCAAUAUGUUCAGAUAAUGGAAAGUAAUAAUUCAUAAAAAUGAUGCCACAAACAUAUAUAGCCUAAUUACGGCAACCAACUGUUUGGAUGCUAAUACAUACGUGGGUACAGAGCAGACAGUAAUGAACCAACAUGCAGCAUGCAAUACGCAUGGUAGUGCACAGGCACUACAUAUGUUUUCUUUUCCAUGCCUCCUGAAGGUCCCACACGUCAACCCCAUGAUUUUGUAAGCUCUAAAAAUGAAUAAUCCAUAGAAUGAUUUUCUAUCAGUUAUCGUUUAAAAUUCCAUCAAAAAUUAUUGUAUAGAAUAAAAAAGGCGAAAAGCCAUGCAUCGUCACACACCUAUUGACGCUCGCCUUUUAGCGUGACGACAAAGAGAAAAACUUUUCAGUCGAUAUGCUCUUAAGAAUCUCGCGAUAAACAACAUUUGUCACUCAUUAAAGAGGAUACAAAUCUGAGUGGUGAGUACAGCUUCGUAAUUUCAAUAACCAAGCUCCAAAUUCUACUCAAGCAUAUAGGUAUAUUUAAUUACCAAAUCCAACAAAAGAGAAAACAUUGCAGAUAAAUUAAACAAUUAAGUAAACUACAAAUACCAGAGAAUUCGUGAAAAAAAACGCCUAAAGGGAUCAAUCCGGUGUUUAGUGCUACACUGGAUUAAAUAUGGAACUAGAUUCUCAUAGAUCAAUCCGGUGUUUGCCCGUGGACGGAUCUAACUCUAGGAUUCGACUAAUCAUGUAUUGUAUAAUAAAUGAAUAAAAAGCUAACCUUUUUCCACAGAUUUUAGCUGUGGGAUUGAAUCUAAACCAUUUUUGUAGAUUAAAUUAGCAAAAAUUUAUCAGCAUACCCCAUGAUCGCAGAAAGAACUGGAAUGGGAAGACUAAAAUCAGCAACAAUUUAAUUUCAAAAAAAAAAGGGAAAACAAGAAAAAGUAGAGAACAAGUGAUUACACAACGAGAGAGGAGAAGAUCGAAAUGUUGCUUCAGAGAUGGUUUCUCUCUUUCCUCUUAUUGGGGGAGAGGGAGAGAGAGAGAGAGAGAGAGAGAGAGAGAAGGAACCUUCAAUGGCGAUUGUGGGGGAGAGAGAGAGAGAGAGAGAGAGAGAGAGAACGAGAGAGAGGAUUUGGCGAAGACGAGUGAGGGUUUUUUCUUUUCUUUUUCUUUUUUUUUUGCCGGGUCGGGCGGAGAGGACGCGACCGGGUGCGACGUGUCCACAGUGUAGACAUUAUUGGCACCUGUUGUAUCAGUACAUCUCAUACACCACACCCUUGUUUUUUUUUUUUUUUUUUCUUUUUCUUUUUCUCUAUUGNAUUUUUAGGGUAAACUCCAAUGUAUCACAGAUUUUUUUUAUUAAUAGAUUUAAAAAAUACUAUAAUUAUAAAAAUAGUCCACUAAGAAAUUUAUUUACAAAAUUAGGUCUAUACGGUGAAUAAAUUAUCGCUUUCUAAAUGUGAAAACUUAUUCACCGCUUUUUUAAAGAAUUAAAAUCAUUUUUAAUAUUUAAUACCAUAUAUAAAUAUUUUUUUGAAGGUUGGAUAUAGAAAAUAUAUAAAUUAAGGUACAAGCGGUGAAUGAUUCACUGUAUUUAGAAAGCGAUAAAUAAUUCACCACUUUUAUCAACCUAUUUUUAUAAAAAGAAUUUUAAAUAUUUAUUUUUAUAUUUAAGAGGUUUUGUAGACUUAGUAGUCCAAAAACUCCUAUAUCACAUGUAGUUUAGCCUUCUUUUAUUUUAUUAUUCUAUGCAUCGAAAAGUUAUAGUUAAUUAGUCAGUAAUUUUAUUUUUUAUCGCUGUAAAAAUUUACUGUUUAUAAUAAAAUUAAACGAAAUACUUAAGUAAUAAUACAAAUGCUAAAUUAUGCCACUGUGUGCUUUCCAAAAAUAUCGUAUUGGUACCUUGUUUGGUACUGUUUAAUGGUAAAAUCUUGCAUUAAAAUAAAAUUAAACUAAUAGAAUAAUUAAGUAUAAUUUUUCGAAUCAUGAUAUGAAACCAACUAAAGUUUACUAUAAUUUUACUACCAAACUACUAGUGAUUUUAGACAAAUACCAAUAAAUAGACAUAAAAUUACGCAUGCUUUUCGAAUCAAUUUUUAGAUUUUACAUAUUGACAAACACAUUUUUCUCUCCACCUUUCACAGUAAUUAAUCCAAAUCAAAACAUUUACAUUAGCGGUUCGCAACUUCACUGUGCUAAUAGCAUCUUAAAUUGCUAAGAGCUUCUGCUUUUGGACUUCGCUGUAGGAAUAUAUCCAGUUGGUACCGCUAAACAUUCUGAAAUAUUUCCCACAAUCUGGAUAUACGGCGAUUCUGAUUCGGAUCAGUUAACAAUAAUUGUGAAAGACACCUCAAAAAAUAAGGAUUGUAGAUAAUUUUGCUUCCAAAUUACAAGACAAAUUCGCAAACAGAAGGUAAUUUUUCUCCUUCAAACCGCACUAAAUAGUGGUUAUGCACUGCAAUAACUGCUAUUCUGUCACACAAUUACAUAUACUCGCCAAAAUGGCGCACACAAGAGAGUAUGUUGAACCAAAAAAGAGGAAAAACUAUUGCCCUAGGAAUAAAUAUUUCAUGUCCAUCACAGGUUCGAUUUCGACAAUACGCAUUAGCUCUGCCGCAACUCAUCUCAUGUGAUGCCUGAAACAGAAAGAAGAGUUAGUUAGAUUUAAGAAUUAAACGUCGGUAAAAGAAAAAUGGAAUACAAAAGGUGAUAUGGAAAAGAUCAAAGCACCUUAGAGUUUCCUUCGUCCCACGGCGCACUUUACAACGGAUGGUGGGGAGGCCGAGACGCUGAUGAGCCUCGAACCGGUGACAUCCCGAAAAACCUACAAAGAUAAUAAGGUGAUGUGUGAUUUAAGACAUAAAAAAGAAAAAAAAGAGUUAUCUUGUUGCUUUUCCUUCUCCGGUGCAGAAGAGCUCCUCACCAUAGUAAACUCCGUCAACCUCCAGAACGUCGAUCUGUAUACGUUGUAUAAAGCAAGUCAAAUCGAUAAGAGAGCAAAAUAAGUUGUUAGAAACAUUUUAGGCAAUAAAAGAGCAAUUGAAUAAUGAAUCAAUUUUAUCUUAGAGUAAGUUUCCACAGUAACAGAAUUUAUGUGCGCCGCCAAAUUAUGAACAUUCGAAUUAACACAAUAUCAAGAAGAGAAUAGGCACCGAUUUGAAAAGUUACUAAUAAUACUUCAAAUGUUCCAUGACAUACUAUAUUCUCUCUCUUGAAAGGACAACGAAAUUCCAGCUAAUUUGUUAGUAGCAGUAGUGAAAUGUUCGACAUCUAUGAGCACAUCCUGAGAAUGUUUUGCAUUACUUAAGUGAUAAUAUUACGAAGCAUCAGCAGUAAAAGGGUAUUUAUGCUUCCACUUUUUCUUCGAUGGUAGAAGAACUGAAUUGACGAUUGACAUUAUUACACAUAAUCUAGAGUAUUCAAAGUGUUUAGGAACUGGAUUUUAUGAAUGUUUGGAAUUAGUUACCUAAUAAUUAUGAGACAAUCGCUCAUUCACAAACCUGUAAUAGUUUUCAUCUCCCAUUAGUUCCAAAACAAAAUUUUUAAAAGGAUAGAUAACUUGUUAAAUUAAAUAAAAUAACCGCUGAUCUCUAGUAACUUAAGCCAAUAGCGAUCGACAAUUUUAUAUUUUUAUAUUUAAUAUUCCUGCUCAUGUGACGUGAACUUGAAUUAAAUAGAAAAAAAGUCUGGCACGACUCAAACUCAGUAUCUCCGUACCUGUUACUCUCGAUACCAAGAGAAAUUAUAUGAAACAACCGUUUUCUCUACCAACUUAAAAAGCUACUAGUGAAAAACAUCAGGGUUGUUUUAUUUAAUUUAACAUAGCUGAAUCAAUACGGGGCAAAUUUGAAACAAGUUGGAUGUAUAAUUUUAGCAAAAAAUAAAUGAAGAAGAUAAAAUUACA
rnacentral:lncRNA from 1 species